rnacentral:lncRNA from 1 species
UGAAAUCUAGGAAGCCUAUAACCUUCUGAACAGUCCAUAGUGGAAAAAAUAAUUUACAAAGUUAGCUCAAAAUCCGGCCCCGCUCGAUGAUUAGCCCCAAUUGGCUUGGUCUGCUCUAAGAUUGAGUAGGACUUGAGCAAAGUGUUUGAAAUCUUGAAUUAAGUUCAUAUUGUAUAAAAAUUUGUUACAAAAAGAUAUAAAAAAAAACUUAGGAAAAAAGAAAAAAGGCCCGGCCCUUCAAGGCCUAUGCGCGGCCUGGUUUGGCCCAGCCCACGAAGCCCGUUUAGACCCAACCUAAUAAACAGGCUGAGUUUUGACCUUUGAAACCUUGAUCCGGCCUGAAAAAUGAAAAAAAGCCCGAAAGGCCCGGCCUCAAAUAUUUGUUGUCUCUAUUGUUCGUGUUCAAAUUUCCUUCUUAUUAUAUAUGUUGUUGUAAAGAAAGUAAUGGAGCUCACAUAAAGAAAAGAAGGAAAUAAUAUUCAAAAAGCUUAAUGAUGAUAUUGGAACUUAAUGAUGAUGUUGGAAGCCAUCCAAUUUGCAUAUAAAUAGACUUUCCAUUGCUUAGCAAAACACUCCAACGAAGAAGAGAGGAAAGAAAGGAAGAGUGAGAGGAAAGAAGAGAGAGUGUGAAAUCUGAGUAUCAGUGAGUUCUAUCUAAGAGAAUUUUGUCAGUGUAAACACCAGAAAAACAAAUAUAAUUCUACUCUCAAUAUUCAGUGGCACUUUUCGUACUCUGAUUAUUUUAUUUUUAUAACAUAUGUUUAUUUAUUUUCACAAAUGUUUAACAUCAAACCCUACAAAAAUGGGCACAAGUUAUGCCUCUCACUCUCAAAUUCUUGUUCAUCCUAUCUUUACAAGCCAAAAGAUGAAAUUCUCAGAGAUACAAGCACCCUGUCUGCAUCUUUAGCCAAAGGCCACUAUUAGAUACUGCUCCUAGCUAUAUAUCAUCAUAACACAUGUCUCAUUCAUGGCUUUAUUUUGGGCCAUUUCACAGACUAUUCACUGAAGCAAUGUUCUGCCUUCAGAGACCCAAAUUUCCACUAUGCGAAUGGGGACCCAAAUUGAGUGAGAAGGUUGAGACUUGAGAGCCAUUUGGUGAAAAUUAAAAAAUAAAAAAUUUAUUUAUCUUGAUAAGAGAUCAACCAGAAGCUCCUCCAUCAAGAAAUCUGUCAUGGCAGUCUCAAUUUCUAAGGCCAUCUCCUCUUGCUCAUACUCAAACUUGUUCCACCUCCCUCCUUUAUGCAUGUCUCUAACACAAGCUUCCUUCUUGUGCUCUAGCCCCCACUCAAGUUCAUUGUGUUCUCCACUCACCCAAGCUUUUGCUUUGCUCACCAUCUCCCAUUGAAAUCCAUCAUCAGUUUGAUUUCUUUGGACACUCAUUUCUUCUCUAAAGAAAUCCAACAGCAGUUUAUCUUCCAAAUGGCCUUCCUCACAGCUGUCUGGUGAUGAGCUAGUUGCUUUGACAUAAUUCAACAGCUCCAUGGCCAUUUCUUCAUCUUCAUCACCCACAUUGGCAAGGCUUUGAUCAAAAGUACUUGUAAAUGAAUCAUCUUCAUCUUCCCCAAAUUGACAAUCAAGCACUGAAACUGGACUGUGCUGUUCAUCUUCAUCACCCAGCAGUAUCUCAACCUGCCAAUGUUCACACACCAAUCAAAUUCAGCACAGUGUACAAUUCUUAUGAACAAAAUUUAAAAGUCAACAUUUUAAAUUUAUGUGAACUAAUUAGGCAUAGAGAUAAUAAAUAAAUAAUAAAAUCCUCUUUUAUUUCAGCAUUUGCCAAAGUGACAGAAAUUGUUGUUACCCAAAAAGGGUGACAAAAACUGUUGCUUUGGACAUACUUAAAUUUGUAUUUAAGUACAUAUUAAAAUAUCAGAUCAAAGUACUUUGGGAUCUAAACGUAAAUGUAUUUUAGGUUAGUAGUAAACUUCUGUUUUGUCUGAUAUGCAUGAUAAACUCUCUGAUAUAUGCUUUAGCCAUGGUUCAUGGUUAAAGAACUUAUUUUUUGCGUCAAAGUUUAGGAGGGAUAGGGAGAUGCCAUUAGGAUUCGAACGUAAGAGUAAGACGAUUAAUUUGCAGACAAAUGCUCUUACUACUAAUCUAUGGACCCGUUGGCGGUUCAUUGUUAAAGAUGACUAGUAAAAAUAGUUCUCCUAUGGCCCACCAAGUACCAUAAAGUACAACCAAGGGCAGGUCAACCAAAUUAAUAGCAUCAAAAGGACCCUCAACAGCAGACACACAAUAUAAAUAUAGAUGCGGUGCACUAAAUAAUUGCUCUACCUGGGGUCCCAAAGCAAUAUUGCAACUUCCUGUCCCUGUUGUUGAUGCCUCCUCCUCCAUGAAAUCCUUGCCGACACAUGGUAAAUAUUUUUUACCAACCUCCUCAUCAGCGUGAGGGUCAGAGUUACUACCAACCAAAGACGGUAAAAACUCUGCGGUAAAAUCACUGUCACACCAGCUUGACCCAUUGCUGCUGCUGCUACAAGUUGUACAAGUAGUAGUUGUGGACCCUGUUAUGGUGGUGCUUGUGGUACAAUGGAGAGGUGAAGAAGCAUAAUCCAACGGUGGAGGUGGAGGUAACAUUUCAUCGCGGAACGAUGUCCACCGUAUGAUGUCCUUGACUCUCACAGUAAUUUGGACUUGGUUUUGACUCUGCUUUCUCGAUGAGCUCUGAAAUUUUGACUGCAGCAGCCUCCUUGAGAGGCUUCGAGGUAAAAAGGAGGGAGAUUUUACCGUGGUAAAUGGGAUGUUUUUAACUGCAUUCAUGAGGGACUGGAAGGCUGAGAUUGUGGUGGAGGCUGCCUUUGAUCUGCUUCUGAGUAAUUUGCUGGUAAUGGUGGGGUUAUUUUUUGAGUUUGAACUUGUUGGUUUUGGAUCAAAUUCAAUGAGGUUCUUCUGGGGACUCCUGGGAUUGAAUGGUGAUCGUUUUCUGGGGAAUGAUUUGAACCCACUUGAAGAACAUGAGUUAGAAUUCUCAUUGAGGAAAUCUUUGAGGAGCAUUCUAGGCCUGCGCUCUAUUGGACAAGGCUUUCUUUGAUGCUGCUGCAACAUUUUUUUGUGAGAUGAAAAAGUAAAGAGAUUGAGAAAAUAAUUAUUACCCAACAAGCAAUUUUUGUGGUUUGAGAGCUUCAAGCCUUCAAAUUGGAUGAUCCAAAGAUUAUAGGCAGACUUCAAAGAUGAAAUGAUCAGAAGAGAAUUGUGGGAGAAAAGGGUUGGUCUGAAAUUAAAGAGUGAAGUGGGAGAGAGUGAAAGAAGAGAGGAAGGAGGAGCUUAUAUUUAAAAGGGUUUGGUGAGCAUUGCAAUAAGAAUAUGAAGAAAGGGAGAGGUAGCUUCUAGGUGGGGAUCUCCAGGUAGUUCAUGAGGAUGAAUUUCAGAAAGAAAAAAAGAAGCAAUAAAAAUGGGGAAAAUGACAAACAAGUGUAGGAGGGUGGAUGCUUCUAUUUUGCAGUUAUUUUAAGUGGAGGAAGAAAGGACUGGGUGAGUGAUUUUGUGAGAUCUCUUGGUCAUUUGGACUCAGAGGCAUGUUUUUUGAGAGAAAGUGGGUUGACCUUAAAUCAACUUGGGCAUACUUAAUAUCUGUACUUGUGAGUUUGAUCACAUUGUCACAUGUAGGAAAAAAAACACUUUUUUUUUUUUGGGUAACAAGAAUAACACUGUUUUGCUCUCUCCGACAAUAACACAAUAGCAUGUGAGGGAUUGUUGCAUGAGAGAAUCUCUCUCUCACAUGUAGGAUUGAAUUUGUAUUUUGUACUAGCACAUUGAUUGAUUGCAUGCUGCUGCCCAUAAUGUUCUUAAAACUGAUCUUAUGGCCAAUAAAAUUUUUUGAAGAGAUUGCAGCAAGUGUCAUGAAUCUCAUGCUUGUUAAUUUGAGUAUAUUUAAGCAAGUUUUUAGAGGAAAUUUGAAUCAAAUCAAGAUUAAUGUAGUAUAAUAGGAAAACGUUCCACACAAAUUAUAUGGCUUUGUUGUGUUAUAAGUCUAUCAAUCUAAAUGAUUGAUUUUGUGGGAUUUUGUUUAAAUACAUAAUCUAGAUGGUCAGUAUGAUAAUUUAUCAUGAAAUAAACAUGUCUUGAUAUAAUCUAAUAAUUAGAUGAUAUAAUGGGAUGAAGCAUGACAACUUGUUGUAUAGAAAAACCUGUUUUUAGGGUAUGAAAUAACUAUAUGUCUUGGUAUUUUCGGUUGAUACUAACACAAAACUUCGUCGAAAGUCAUUCUUUUUUAUUUAUAAAUUACGGUAUGAUAUAGAUGUAUAAAAAUAACUAUUUAACAUUAUAAAAAACAAAAUUUAUGUCUACGUAUCAAAUUAUAAUUUUUUGUUGUUGAAAAAAUAACUCGUUACGAAAUAAAAUAAGGAGUAAAGUAUUUUUCAUAAGUGUAACCACAAAAUCAUGGUGGGUUGCAAGCAUGGCCACUUUGGCCAUUGACAAUUACAUUGUUGGUAUGAUCAAUCCAAAUUGGUACAAGAUCUUUAAAAAUUUGGAACUUGUCCACUAGUUCACCGCCAGGUCAUUUAUGUGAUCACAUGUGGCUGAUCCUGAUAAGCCUAUAUGUUACACAUGCAAUUGGCUGUGGGCCCCAACCAUCGGAAGGAGGAUCCGAUGCUGUGUAUCUGAUUCCGAUCAUAAAUGGUGGACUCCGCGCGCCAGUGUCGGCUCCUCUAGUCCACAUCACACCCACACGCACACAAUUUUCAUAGCCGGAUUUGCCUAAGGUUGAUACGGUAAUUUCACCACUUGAUCAUCAUCAAUAUCAAAUAUGGAAUGCCAUGAAUGAGUUAUAUUUCUCACCAAAUAUUCACAUUGUCUGCCUCAACUCAACUAUCACAUAAUCAAUGGAGAAAUAUUCCCAUGGGCAUGGUGAUGCAUCCAUCUCUUACGUAACUAGGGCAAAAACAAUUAACUUCUCACUGCGAGCUAAAAUUCUUAGACGUCAGUCUUAAAUUUCACACUAGAAAUCAAUUGACUCUUUGGUUUCAUAAUUUUCACUUUAAAUACUAAAUUAGAUAUUUUAUGACAAAUGACUUUUGAUAAGAUGAAAUGCGCACUACUACAAAAAAGCAAAAAGACGACGGUAAAUCACCGUCGUGUAUUUGGUUUUUCAAUGGUCGUGGAAUCCACCGUCAUCUUUUCCCUCAUAAACCACGACGCUAAAUAACCGUCGUUGUUAAACAAUACAACGUCAUCAAAAAAUACAAAACGACGUCUUUGUACUGCAAAAAGAUCUAAAAAAAGCAAUCGAGGAUGAUAAUAGACGACCAAUUCUCUAAAAAGACCGUCGUUAAAAAGGGAAAAUAUGACACAUAUUAAGAGAACAAGGCCGCAAGAUAGACAUACAACGACGACAAUAAAAAUACGCCGACGUUAAAUAUAAUUUUCACGACAAUAAAAAAUAUGACGUCUUUAAAUACAUUAGAAGACGACGUUAUUGAUACCUACUACGUCGCACAUAUAAACACAACCGUCGUACAAUUAAUUUUCCACUUCGAUUUUUCGAUAAAAGAUGACGUGGAAAUAGUUGUCAGUGUCAUUAUUUACGACGUAUGUAUUUCUAUAGUAGACGUUGAAAAACUAAACAACGUCAGUUACAAAUAUAUGAGAGUCGUAUUAAAAAAUUUAUACGUCCUAUUUUCAGAAACAAACAACGACCAUAAAUAUUAGACGUUGUUAAAUACAACAACGUCGGAAAACAAUAAAAACAGACGUGUUUAGUCUGCUAAAGUUCUACAACGUCUCUUAUUUACAAAAAACCGUCGUGAAAUAAAUUUUCCACUUCGAUUUUUCUAAAAAAGAUGACGUGGAAAUAGUUGUCAGUGUCAUUAUUUACGAUGUAUACAUUUAUAUAGUCGACGUUGUAUUUAUAUGUAUUCAUUACUCACGACGCACUUAAUAAUAUAGACGACGUUGAACGUCUAAACAACGUCGGUUCCAAAUAAAUGAGAGCCGUAUUACAGAACAUAUAGACGGCGUAGAUUAUGAUGGGAGCCGUAUUACAAAUAACGUCGUUUAAUUGUUAUUAGACGGCGGUUAUAAUGAAUUUCCGUCGGAAUUAAUUUCGUUCCUCUUCGUUUAUAAAAGAACUUGCGACGUGGAAAAUGUAUGAUGACGUCGUAUUUUUUAACGUUCAGAUUACAUAUCUCGUUUUUUAGACGUCGGUAUUAUGGGAUUGGAGUCGUGUUAUUUUGAAUUACAUGGCGGUUCUUUAUCCUUCACCGACGUGAUAUCCUGAAUAAUUGCUUCACAAUAGCGUCGUGGUUCUUCAUUGUUACGUUGCUUUAAGACGUCGGUAAAUAUGCUGAAUAACUGAUUCACAAUAACGUCGUGUUUUAUUUGAACGUAGAAAGUGAAGAAAUCACAUUACAAUAUUUUACAAAAUUAAUGUCAUACACUGCCAAUUACAUAAGCAUCAUUCAAUCCAUAUAUCUUCACACCCAUCUCGAAUAUUUUGACCGCCUAACUCACCUACCAGUUCAUCAAAUGUGUCAACAUUUGGCAUCCCCUCUAGUAAAUGGCUCACACUCAAUUAUCACAUCACCUAAUACUUCAUCACCAAUAACAUCAUUAUAUUCUCUACUAGGCAUUGAUAACACUACCGACCAACCACGAUGCAUCGGGUCGUCAACAAAAAAUAUUUGUUUGACUUGAGAAGCCAAAACAAAUUGGUCAUUCCUAUGUCCAAUUUUACUCAAAUCUACAAGGGUAAAUCCAAGUUCGUCGACUACAAGACCAGAACUAUCUAUCCAAUCACACCUAAAGACUGGGAUUGUAAACUUUUGGUAGUCAAGGUCCCAAAUUUCUUGAAUGACACCAUAGAAACCCAUAUUUGAGAGAAUUGGGUUUUUAUCCUUGGCACUAGCAACUUGCAUGGUAUGUGCAAGUAAAUAAACUCCACUAUUUUGAGUUGUCCGCACAUCAUCUUGUGCCUUGAUAUUGAAUUUAAUACCUUUAAUAAGAUAGCUCCUAUAUAAUGGCACUGACAUGUUUGGACCAGCUGCUAGCCACCUUAAAUUUUCUGAUACGCCAUGAUUGUCUUCCUCAAGUUCACUUUGAACCUGCAAAUUAAUCAUAUCUUAAUUCAUCCUAACAUAUAAAUAAGAAGAAAAUUAAAAGAGAAAUACGUUAUUCAACAACAUAUACCUUGAAGCGUAGCCAUUGAAUGAAAGUGCUAUUGUGCUUAUCCUGCAGCCACUUUGUUCUCUUUCUAAAUUUUGGAUAAGCAGUCUUGAUGUGGAUCAUAUGUUGCCUACAUGACACGAAAAAUUCAAGCAUUACGGUCCCAAAUAUAUAAGAUAAACAUAAGAAAUAAUUUUAAAUGGAAACUUAAAGAAUAAAACUCAUACGUACUCGAUAUAAGGUAGGACUUCCUCCGUAUUCUCCAAGACAUAUAGAUGUGCUUGAUUCAACAGGUCCUGAUCAACUACGCUCACUGUGCAACCUGAUAAUGGCUUUGAAACUCCCAUCUUUUGGCUUGAAGGCACUCCAACUGUACUAACAUCAGAUAAAUGCUGAGUACAAAACUCUACCGCUUCUUCAGCUAUAUACCGCUCAGCAAUGCAACCUUCGGGACGAGUACGAUUCUGAACAUACCCCUUCAGCACUUUCAUAUAUCUUUCAAACGGAUACAUCCACCUAAAAUAUACUGGCCCACAUAGACGAACUUCUCUGACAAGAUGUACUACUAGAUGAACCAUGAUAUCAAAGAAUGAAGGGGGAAAGUACUUCUCAAGCAAACACAGAGUAACUACUACAUCUUCUUCCAACUUAUCUAGCUUGGAAACAUCAACAGUCUUUGCACAUAUAGCAUUGAAGAAGAAGCACAAACGAGUUAUUGCAUACUUUGCAGGCUUCUCCAAAACAGAACGAAUUGCCACAGGGAGCAAUUGUUGCAUUAAGGUAUGACAAUCAUGUGAUUUAAGGCCAAGAAGUCUUGAAUCUUGUACAGAUACAAGAUUUUUAAUAUUUGAAGAAUAACCUUCAGGGACCUUCAUACCAUAGAAAGAAUUGCAAACCUCUCUCUUCUCUGCUCUUGACAAAUUCCAAGGCCCAGGAGGCAAACGAGUACGUCUUUCUCCAUACUCGGGUUGCAAAUCAGUUUUGACCCCCAUGUUCAAUAAAUCUAAUCGAGCAGCAAUCCCAUCUUUAUUUUUUCCAUCAAAAGAGAUGCAAGCCUGGCCUCCACUCGCUGUCGAAGGAAAGUUCGCUUCUCAGGGAAAUCUGAAGAUCAGAUGUGCCUGAUCCUCUGCUUGAUUUUCUUGCCUAAGAAGAUCCGUCGGAUUUAUUGUGAUAGCCUCUUCCUUUAUCCGUAGAGCUUCAGAAGAAGAAGAUGGGUUUCAAGAAUGCGAUAAAGAAUAGAAAUGGCUUCAGAUGGCCUCUAAAGCAUGAGCAAUUGAAUCAGUAGUUUCUGGGAGAUAUGAUGAAGACAUUGUCAAUGCUUUGAACUACACAAGUCCUGCAGAAAGAUAUGUUAAAGAAACUGAAACAACGGCGGUUUUCUGUUUUACCGUCGUCUUUUCUCGUCGUCUAUAUUAAGUUACGAUGGCGGUAGAUUUAUAAUUACCGACGUAGAUUAUUUUGUUAAACGUCGUUAAGUGUACUACAACCGACGUGGAUUUUAAUUUUAAAUUAUAAAUGGAGUUUUUUUUCCCGUAUUCUUUCAGUUUUAGUUUUCAAUUCCAAAGCAUGAUAAAUAGAUUUUUCUUUCCCGAGGAAAUUUAAAAUGAGGGAAAUUAAUGUUCUAGAAUUUGUAAACUAACACGACGCAAUAUUUGCAAAUCUGUGUCAUCUGUUAAGAUUAUGAUGUGGAACAGAGUUCCAUCUGGUAAGAUUUCGUAACCCUUGGGAUCUCAGACAAAACUGAUUAUGUCGGCGGUGUUCUAUAUAAACCGUCGUGGUUAUUUCAAUUCUUGUCAUUAAGUAGAUCUACCGACGUAGGAUAAGAAAAUCAAAGAAAAAAAUUGUUAACAAAAAUUCUUAUUAAGACGACCGUUAAAAUUAAAGGUACGACGUAUAAAAUGAAUAAAUACGACGAUAAAUUUUAUUGUACGAUUUAAAGAUAACGUAGUAGAACUAUACGAGAAUGACGUCGAUAUAUUUAUAUUUUCCGUCGUUGUAAAUUAAUUUAAUACGGCGAUAUUUUGUAUUUUAAAGCCGUGGAUUUGUUUGUAAUUAUACGGCGUCUUAUACGAAAACCUCGUCGUGUUAUUUUAUGAGUAAAAACGGCAGUUUUUAUUGAAAUCGUCGUCUUUACUUUCUACGUCGGUCGAUUCAUAACUUCUGCCGUUCUUUGUUGGCAUUGAUUUUACACUGCGGAAAUCUGUUUCAAAUAGACGUCGGUUGUUUAAUUAUGUACGUCGUUGUUUUUGAACAGCCAUUUGAAACUCCAUUUUUUAGUUGUCUAAGGUUGUAUUACACGACGGUGUUUUUAGAACCGUCGUCUUUUUAUAAACCACGACGGUUUUCACUGAGACCGUCGUUGUUUUCUGGUCGUCUUUUUCACUUUUUGUAGUAGUGGCGAUACGGACAAAGAUAUAUGGAACGACUUACUGUCACAACAAACCCUUUUCACUUUGAAUAUGUAUGAAAACAUAAUAAUAAGAUAGAGAAGGGAUAUAAUAAUUCCAUAAGUUAAUAAUAUUAUCCCUUUAAUUAUAGUGUACAUUUGUUUGUAGGCCUUUUUAAUUAGUUUCAUAAUGAAUUGUCCAUGAAUUAUGUUGAGUUUAGUUUAACUCAUGACUUUGUCAUUUUCAAUGCCUCAUCAUUCAUCACUCAUCACUUUGUGUUCUUGUCUUAAUCCCUAUUACAAGGACACAAGUCCCAUGCAUCCUCACCAUUUUCCUUUUGGGUUUUUUUAUUUAUUUAUGUAGAGUUAUCUCUUCAUAUUCAUGGAAGUAUUAUAUCCAAAACUUGAUCGUACACAAUAUUUUAUUUAUUAUUCUCUCUAUUUCUUUUAAGCUUAAUUUUCAGGUAACCUCCUAAGCUUCAACAAUCUUACAAACAGGCAUAUUCAGAGCAAACAGGUAACCUCUCUUCUGCCACUCCUCUAUGUCUCUUUCUCCCUCUAUAUAUAAUAUAAUAUCUAUUUAAUUCCAUGUCAUCCUGUUUUUGUGUACCUUCCAUUACUAUCUAAGAAGAUGUCUUGUGAUAAUAUAUACUAAAAGGAUCAUGCACGUAUACACAAAAUCAUGGGAGUUGUAAAAGAGAGAAAUUGAGAUAUGUAAAGUAAUUGGUAACAAGUGCACAUUUCUAAUUGGAAUAGUUGAUUUUCUAAAUCACAAUUUAAAGAUCAUCCACGUAAACCAGUUAGCAUUUGGUGUACUUAUAUUUGUCAACAAAUAAUGUGUGUAGUAACAUAAUUUAGUAGCACUCGAGAGAACGAGUUAAAUCAAAGGCAACCUUUCCCACAAAAAAAGAAGAAGAAAAAAUUGAACUCUCAAAUUAAUUUACUGUGAAAUUUUUCUCUCAUCAAUAUUUGUUUUGGGGACGUAGAAAUUUGCAAAUUAAUAUCUAUAAAGUAUAAACUAAUGCAAAUAAAGGGGUCCUUUUCUUUUAAUUUUUUAAAAAUAAAUAGUCUAGCCGUGCGGCUAUACUCUGGUUCUUUUUUAAAAAAAUAAAAAAAUAGUAUAGCCGUACGGCUAUACUCAUUUUUUAUAUAGCCGGCCGGCUAUACUCGUUUUGACAAGUGGCGCCGCAUUGCUUGGCGGGCGCUAGGCGAGUCUUUACAAAUCGUAUAGCCGCGCGGCUAUACUCUGAUUUUCUAUAUUAAAAAAGAGUAUAGCCGCUCGGCCUUACUAGGGUACUUUGUAAGUUUUUUUAUAAAUAGUAUAGCCGGGCGGCUAUACCCUUUCAAUUUCCGAGGUCCCUGUACCCGGACUCUCCCUAUGUUAGUGUCGGAGGCCCGAUUUGACAGGGAUUUUUUGGCCAGCCCAAAUUCGUAAAGUAUUUUUCGGGCUAGACUCUAGUUCAUGUUUUCAACCCAACCUAGUUGUAUCCAAACCCAAAUUAUGUUGAACGGAGAAGCCCAUUACUAACAAACAACCCAACGGCACAAAACCGUCUUGUCGUCUUCUUCCUCCUCCUUCACCUUCUCGGUUGGUACGAUGAAUGUGUAAGCCGUCUUUUUACUGCCAGACCCAUAUUUGCAAAUUCCAGAGUGAUGGGUGUUGGUGGUAAAUUCUGGGACUUGCUUAAACCCUACGCCCGGCAUGAGGGUUUUGAUUUCUUGAGGAACAAGCGGGUUGCUGUCGACCUCUCCUUCUGGCUCGUGCAGCAUGAAACCGCUAUCAAGGACCGUGCACGAAGCCCCCACCUCAGGCUCACCUUCUUCCGUACCAUCAAUCUCUUCUCCAAGGUUCAGUUUUCUCUCUGUUUUUGUGUUUUCUGCUUGUUUUCUGAGAAAAUGUGAGAAAUUCAAAGAGAAAAAAAGUUGGGUUUGUGGCUUUUCCGUUAUACACAUUUUGGUUUGGGGAAUAUGAAAGUUGAUUCAAGUUGUUUGACAGUGUAAGCUUAUUUUAAAUUUACUUAUAUAAAUUUAAAUGUAUAAAAUAUGGGGAAAAAUGGAAAUUUGAUUGAGUUUUUGCGUUUUAAAUAAAAAAAUAACCUUAACUUGGCCAACUAUUUCUUAAGCUCUCUAAUUUUUGUUGUUUUAUGUAAUGCUGUUUUAUUUGCUUGACUGAGAUAAAGUUACAGCCCUUGAAUUGAGAGUGAGCUUAACUAUCGGUCACUGUUUAUGCAGUUUGGAGCAUUUCCAGUCUUUGUAGUUGAUGGAAGUCCGUCACCUCUAAAGUCGGAGGCAAGGAUUGCAAGAUUCUUUCGUUCUUCUGGUAUUGAUUCAUCAAGUUUGCCUGUGGCUGGCGAUGGUGCUUCAGUUGAGAGAAACAGCACAUUUACAAAGUAUAUUCAAGAAUGUGUGGUGAGUUGUUUCUGAUGUUAUGGUUUGUUAUCAAUUUAAUAACUGCAUUUUGUGUUUGUGCAUUGACAAGUACUGUUUUCGAACUUUGGUGCAAACUCUUCUUUCGGUUGCUUUGAAAGUUCUUUUCGAUGUCAAGAAAAAGUUUCCAUAUUUCCCACAAAGUUUGUAAGUUCAUUCCACUUGAACCUUUAUCAUCCAAGAAGAUUUUAAUUCUUUGGCUUUUCAAAUUGUGGUGGUGAUUAUAUGGAGUAGUCUUACCUUUGACAUAUUUUCCGCACUUGUUGGCUAACCCUGUAUGAAUGAGAUUGUUUGAAGCGAAUUGCAGUCCUUUUAUUUGCUCAUGAUUUAGUAGCAGACUGAGUGUUCAUGCUUAUCCAUAUGCUUUCAUUAUUUUCCCUUGCAACAUGUACAUCUGGAUGAAAAUUUUGUGACCAGUUUUUUUUUUUUUUCCUGGUCUGAAAAGUCUAUGAUCAGUUUAAUUCUGUUAGAAUCUGUAAUUAUAUCUUUGUGAAUAAUAGAUAUUUUCUUUUGGUUUGUUGCCGAGGCAUUUGCAUGCUUAUCAGUUAUUUACUAAAGGUGGUUUAAUAGGAACUGCUUGAACUGCUUGGGAUGCCUGUAGUAAAAGCAAAAGGAGAGGCUGAAGCACUGUGUGCCCAGUUAGACGCCGAAGGUCAUGUAGAUGCUUGCAUCACAUCUGACAGUGAUGCGUUCCUCUUUGGGGCUAAGUGUGUGAUAAAAACCUUUCAAUCCAAUUCCAAGGUAAGUAGUAAUGUCUUUGUAAGUUUAACCAUGCCCCAGUUGGGCAAUUGAUUCUGCUCUUUCAUAUUGAUUUUUUAUUCUGCGAACUCAUAUCUCUUCUCUUGCCAUUUCUGUUGCCACCAUCUUUUUAGGCCACUCAGAGAUUCUCAUUCUGUGCAGGAACCAUUUGAAUGUUACUAUAUGUCAGAUAUCGAAGCUGGUCUUGGUUUGAAGAGGAAACACUUGAUUGCCAUCUCUCUUUUGGUCGGAAAUGACUAUUAUUUAAAUGGGGUGCAAGGCAUUGGGCUUGAUACAGCUCUUCGUAUUGCCCAAACUUUUAGUGAAGAUGAGAUAUUGAAUAGGUCAGAUACUAAAUGGAUUCAUUCAUAUAUGGCGUUUUUGGUUUUCUGUUACAAAAGUUAUUUUAAUUGAAAUGUAAUUUUUGUGCUCAAACUUUUUAAUUAGUUAAGUUUGUAUUAUAAAUUUUGCACAGGUUACGUGAAAUAGGAAAUGGUGAUGCUUCUCUCUUGCAAGGUGAAAUAAGAUCUGUGGAUGAUAGUGUACCCAGUCCAGAUGGGAGCUCAUUAAAAAGAAAAUUCUCUCAUUGUUCCUUUUGUGGGCAUCCUGGCAGCAAAAGAACUCAUUUCAAGUCUUCCUGUGAAUAUUGUAGUUCCACAAUGGGUGAGGGUUGCAUGAAAAAAUCAGAGGGUUUCAAAUGCAGUUGCUCUUCUUGUGAUAUGGUACAUUUAUUUUCCCUUCUGAUACCUAUCCUUUAUAGUGCAUUUUUUGCGUCAACAUAUCGGGCCCCGUCACAAGUCGAAUUCAAAUAGUGUCUGUUACAAUUUUCGGCAAUGUGCUCCAUAUUGCGUCCUUAAGUAUAAGCUUUUAAUGGUAAUGGCAGGAUCGUAAAGAAAAGGAGCAGAAGAAGCAAGAUAAUUGGCGAUUGAAAGUUCUCAGCAAGAUUGCACUGGAGCCGAAUUUUCCGAAUGAUGCGAUUAUUGAAAUGUAUUUGUGCAAUAGCCAUGGUUACUUCACUGGUAUGUUUUAACAUUCUUCCUAAAACUGGUACAACUAGUAUAAAUUCUUUUUCAAUAGCAUGGACUGAAUAUGACUUAAGAAAAUUAUGUCUUCUUCAGAAAAAGGAGCUUCUUUCUGGCAUAUGUUGUUUUGUGAAUGUAUCUUGUCAAUUUCAGUGCACUAUAAUGUUUUAAAAUUUUGUGCACAGAAAAUGAUGGACCCUGCAUAUCAUGGGGAAGUCCAAAAACUGAAAUGGUGGUUGAUUUCUUGGCUUAUCAUCAGCUGUGGGAACCAUCUUACAUUCGCCGGAGGAUGCUUCCGAUGUUAUCAACUAUUUUUUUAAGGGAAAUGGCUAAAGAUCCUUUAAAAAGUUUGUUAUAUGGGCAGUAUGAGUUUGAUUCCAUAGAUCGCUUGAAAAUAAGAUAUGGGCAUCAAUUUUAUGUGGUCAAGUGGAAAAAAUCCGCACCUUCUUUGGGUUGUGUCAGUUGCACAGUCCCUCCGGAGGAGUCAGAUGUGCAACAAGAUGAUGUUAUGGAAGUUGAUGAAUCCAUUAAUCCGUUCGAUGAGUCUGAUGUUCCUACAAUUGAUAUCAAUAAUGGUUGUUGCUUUUUGUUGACUGAUGAAAAUAUGGACCUUGUCCAUGCUGCUUUUCCAGAGGAAGUUGACAGAUUUUUGCAGGAGAAGGUGUGAUUUCUUUCCCUUUUCAUUUCUAUGUGUUUUUUGUUUCUUUCUUAUGUGUGGUUUCCUUUUCCAUCUUGCGUACCUGUUGAAAUUAAAGAAAAUCUUGUAAGCUUUUGUGCUUAAAUCUUGCAGGAACUGAAAGAAUUGAAAAGAAGAAAAACUGAGAAGCCAGAAACAGCAGGAUCAAGAGGCGUCCAGCUAAAUAUCACAGAAUUCUACCGUUCGGCCAAAGUGUAUGAGACAGAACCUGGAGAAAUUCUAACCAAGAAGACAGAACCUGGAGAAAUUCUAUCAAGUCAGAGAGCUGAAACUAGCAAAGAAAAGAGAAAACCAUCAAGCUCAAAUCUCCCCAAGUCUGUAAGACGACGUCUUUUGUUUGACUAAGGCAUUUUCAGAUUUUGGGCCUCUUGCUGCUGUUUAGUAGGAAAAUUAAUUGAAGAUGUAAAGUUAUCACCUCCUUCUACCCCUUACUGAGCUUAGCCUGAUGUGUAAUUUCUGUAAUUAAAUUUUAGAUUUAUAUAGGGUAGGUGCUGAGCAAAAGUUGCAGGGUUUUGAAUCUUCCUCGAGUGAGCAAUGCAAUAUUUCUAGUGCGUUUAUUGUAACAUUUUGUAUAAAGGUGAAUUUGUCAUUUUGAGAUUUUUUUUUGGCUUCAGCAAUUUAUGGACGGAAUCUUAACGUAAUGGGUUUUGUGAAAACAAUUUGAAACUUCAAAGGGCAUUAGUAUAAUUUUUAAAACCUCGUGGAUUUAAUGAAAACAUAUAAAACCUCAACAGUUUUGCAAAUAACUCAAAGGUGGGGAGGGGGGUUGUGUAACGGAAGGUAUUAAAUAAAACACACAUUUUACAUGUGAAAAAAUUUACAAUCUUCUAAACAUGGGAAAUUCAUUAGUGCCCUUGACCUUUUCAUUCUAUAAUUGGCAGUCGUUCCUCAAUAUAAUUGUCAUGCUAUAUAUGCUUUUGACUUUCUCUUGUAGAAAUUAUUUGAAAAGCUAUGGAUGCUCAAAGCUAUUGCCAACUUAUCUGAUCUGUUGAUAUUGUGAGCUUGUGCCUAUGUAACAAUUGCUCUAAUAUUUUUCUGUCAUCAAAGGCCAAAUUGUAAGAAUAAACACAACUCUUUCUUCUGGUAAGUUACAACACAUUGAGCAUUUCAAAACACUACAGAGAUGAUGGGUUAUUUUUGUCUUAUAAAUUUUUUUUUCUGAAGACUAUAACCGCGGCGUGACGCCAUGAGCGAUGAGAAGGCCAUCUCAAUUGAAUCUGUGAACAGUUCUAGUCCAAGACUUGAAGCUGUCAGUGUUUUGGUUGUUGAUGGUGAUUCUGCAUGUCUUGCAAUACUAUCAAGAAUGCUCUAUAACUUGGGGUAUAAGGGUAAACAUUUUUUUCUUUUUCUUUUUGUUGAAUUAUUUGGUUUCAUUAUGGAGUCUUAAUUGUUUUUCUUUCCCUGCAAACGCAGUCAAAACCCAUUUCAUUUUUAUAUUAACAUGUAAUUAUUUAACCAUGUAAUUCUAAUUUCCUUCAGGAUUAUUAUGCUUACCUUGUUUGCCAAGGAAGUUCUAACCAUUUGCCACAUAUGCUAUGAGCCUAUGACUUCCAAAAUUUAUUUUUCUCUCUGACUGUUUGUUUAUUUUUUUUGCAAAUACAGUUUUGUUCUAACAGUUUCCUGCUUUACUCUUGCUAGCAGUUAUGACAGCCAAAAGAGCCUAUGAUGCACUAUCCAUAGCUCAGAAGAAGGAAGAUGAGCUUCAUCUUGUGCUGACAGAGGCUCACUUGCCUGACAUGGAUAAAUAUGAGCUCUUAGAGAAAAUGAAAGCAGUUUCCAAAGUACCAGUUGUUAGUAAGUUCUCAGUUUCAAAAACCCCAUUCAUGUUAUUACUUUGCACUCACCAGAAAACAUUUUAUUCAUGGAGUUAGGCCUCUGAUAGCAUAUGCUGCUGACUUGGUUUUUAUUUAUUUAUGCAGUUAUGUCUGAUGAUGACGAUGAGAAUGCUAUGUUGGGUGGGCUGUUUAAAGGAGCUGUAUUUUAUUUUGUUAAACCACUCACAAUCAACAGCCUAAAAAACCUAUGGCAGUUUGCAAUCAUCAAGAACAGAAAUCAUGUGGUGAUAGAUUUCACUGAAGAGGAAAGUAGUGUUUAUGCUGAAUCCCAGCAGGAGAAUACAUCAAAUGAGGGCUUGGAGAGAGACUCAUUCAUGACGAGAGACCGAUGGUUGGAAAGAAAAAACCCUGAAGGGACAUACAAAGACGAGGAAAGAGAGAAUUCUGAUUCAACUUCCCAAAAGAAGCCAAAGCUAGUUUGGACCAAUGAGCUACAUAAGAGAUUCUUGCUAGCAGUCAGAUUGCUAGGAGUUGAUAGUAAGAGCCCUUUUGAUAUUGGUUCUGUGAUGAAUUUUUUACUUUACUUGGAGCUAUUGAAACUAAGAUAGCUAAUUUAUUUCUUGACUUAGGUGCUCAUCCAAAGAAAAUACUUCAGCAUAUGAAUGUCCCUGGACUCAGGAAAGAAAAUGUUUCAAGCCAUUUACAGGUUUGCUUCUUUGUUGUAUAGGAUUCGGUACCUUUAAUGCAGAAUUUUCAACUUUAUAUAAGGAUAAACUUCUUCUUUUUUUGGUCAGUGAUUUCUGCAACAUUCUUGGUUAUCCAUUUUUCUUUUUUGAGAGAGAAACAUCAACACAUUCUUGGCUCUGCACUCCUUUAUAAAUGUUAUUUUUGCAGAAAUAUCGCCUCUCGUUGAAGAGGGAACAAGAAGCAAUCAUGAAGGCCAGGGCCAGAGGUCCCAAAAAAUCAAAUUUCCCAUCACACCAAUCUUUAUCAACAUUAAAUUUUCGAGGAGGCUGUUCUCAUACCUUGAACCGGUACUCGACCUCAACAGCAUAUCAACCAAAACGCAGAAGCCAUGUUCAGGACCUCAGUAGUCACAUGUCUAGACCUUCCCCUGCAGGUUCUGUAUGUUUUCCAAGUCAAGUUUACUCAAGUGGGCAUCCAACUCUAGGCAAUGAGUCAAGUUUUACAUCAAUGCCAUACCAUUCAAAUUAUAAAAAUGGGCAACCAACUCUAAACAACCAGCUAGAUUAUACUAAUGAUCAUAAUACUAAUCACAUUGGAAAUAGGAUCACCAGCAACAAGGAAUUGGCUGGCUUUAGACAGGUGGGGAGCUUUGUCAGAUACAGUAAUUUUGAUGGGAACAAGACCUUCUCUACUUUUGGAGAUCAUGGUCAUUCAAAUUUAGUAGAUUUCCCAAUAUUCCUUCAUAAUUCUACACAACAAGAAGAGCAACAGCAGAAGCAACUUCAACCACAGGUUCUGUUUUCUCCACCAUUGCAAAUGCCUUCUCCGCCGCCGCAGCCAAAGGAGCAACAACAAAACGACAUUCUUGGGCAGGAAAGGCAACUUCAACCACAGUUUCUGCCAUCAGCACCAUUGCAAAUGCCUUCACCAUCACCUCUCCCAGCAGCAGCAGAGCAGCAAGGAGAACAAGAUGACAUUUUUGGGCUUGAAAGCCAACUUAUGCAGUCACCACAAUGGCAUAUGCCUUCAAUGCCAGCAGCACCAACAGCACAUGAGCAAGAGAAAGAUGACCCGUUUGGGAUUGAAAGUGAAGAAACUGAUGACUUAUUUGACAUUGCAAAAGGCACCACUCAACAUUUCAAUGAUUAAUUUUGAUGAUUUAUGGUGAGUGGCUGGUGAUCAAGCAUCUGACUUAUGUUUAUGCUCUUGUAAAGUAAGCUUCAAUUAAAAGGGUACAUCUCCGUACAUUAUUAGAUAGAGACAAUACAGUAUACUCGCUUGUAAGCUCUUUCUCUCAUCUCAAUGAUAAAGGAAGAGGAUAAAAAAGGAAUAUAUAUGAGAAAUGUAAGUGGACAAGUUGGACUUGAAGUAAUAUACAGCUUUAGUUUUUAGAUUUAUUAUCAUGAUUAACUUACAUUAUUAUAUCUCUGUUUUUUGUAAUUAAAAAAAUUAGAGAGAAUCGAACCGUAAACUUAUCCUAAUCCUAACCCAUUACUCCACCCUCUCUCGCCACUUGAGCCAACCCCAGAGACCUUUAUGUCUUUUAAUUGUGAGUGUAUUCGAACUUACUAAAUAAAUUUUCUAUGCUCUAUAUAUUUGUCAGUAAUUAAAUCGUCCUAUGUUACUACUACUAACAAAAAAAAGUUGUUAUUUGCAUUUAAAAUUGAUUCUUUAUUUGAGUAUCAUCAGACUAUUUUUAAAUUUUAUUAAUUAUAUAUUCGUCUAUUUACUCGAUUAUAAUUUAAUGUCUAUUUGAUUGUUGGAUUAAUUAAUAUUUUAAGGAUAAUCUUUAACGAGGGCACUACAUAGUUGUAAGAGUGCGACUAAAAAAAGUAUUGUGGGUCAUGUUUAUGUUUUUUCCAUAAAUAAAUUUCAGUUAUUCAUCAAUUAAAAAGAAAUUAAGAUAACUGAGGAAGUUUUAUUUAUGGUUGCCAUAUUAUUAUUAUUAUUAGGAGAGUAAUGUUACACUUACCACAUUUUAAUCCCACAUUUCUAUACCACAUGAUGACUCCUUUUACAAUUUGAAUUCUUUGUACGCUUUAUUCUUAUUGAUCUAAUAAAAUUUUAUCGCAUUUUUAUCAAAAUUAAAAAUUAAAAAUUCUAUUUGUCAAAGAAAAAUGGGAUUACCGCAUCCAAAAAAAAAAUUGGCCAUGCAAAAUGUUUUGAAAUUAGAAAGGGAAAAACAAUAUCAACCCAAUUUGCUGCCAGGGGGAUCGGAAUCAAGGACAAUAUUUAGAAUAAUCUGGGCUAUAAAUCGGUAUAUGUAACUUACCCAAAACAAAAUCGGUAAAUGUUAAAAUAUAUUCUAAAAUAGGCAACUAAAAAAAAAAGAAGAGGAAAUUAUGGACUUGGUCACCAAUUUUUAUUGGGUAGAGUACUUGAGGACCAAUUAAGAUUUUCUCUCUCCGUGUUACAUUUUCACUCAUACUUUCCUAAUCACAUAUGUCAAUCUGAUUUCCUUUGGUUACAGAGAUUUAUUUGGUUUCCUCAAACCGUUUGUAUUGGAAUUAAAACUUAGUUCAUUCCAUUAUUUAGGGUUGGCAUUAACUUGAAGCCCAAACCUUCUAUUUCCAACUCACACUAGGAUUAAGCAACUAUAUAACAUUAACCUUUUAAUUUUCACUCUUAAUUUGUUAACGGGUUAGCGCUUUCUUCAUCGAUAACGUUGAUGAGAAAGAUUAGAGAAGAGAAGAUGAGUUUGGUGAGUAAGGUAGGUUUUGGUGAUGGCUUGUCCCCUCUCGAGAUUUUGUCGGAGACGGUUUGUAGUAUAUUCAAGAUGCAUCAAGUGAAACAAGAGCAUUCUUUAGAAUCUCCAAAGAAAAGAAGCUCCUUGUACUUCAAUUUCUUGAAUGAUACGUCUAGCCCUAGCAAUACUACUCCUGUAAGUAUUAAUUUCUCUCAUCACAUAUUCAGUAACUUUUCAUUCUUCUCUUUAGUUUUUUUUUCUAAGCUAUGCAAUUAUUUCCUAACAUUUAAUUUAAUUUAUUCAAUUUGUCUCAGAAAAAAGGAAACGGGCCAGCGAUGAUCACGAGAAAAGAGGCGACAUUGGAGAGUCCUAGCAGUCAUGACGAGGAUGAUGAUGGCUGCCAAGUCCUACUAGUUGAUCAUGCAGAAGAAAGGUCAGAACUGACUUUUCAAUUACAAAUUCCAGAGUAUGUACUCUCUCUCUCAAACUUUCCCUACCUUAUUUAUAAAUGUUAAUGAUUAAUAAUGAACUGAAUAUGUUAAUGAUUAAUUAUGCACUGUGCAUGCCAAUUACUUAACUUGCUGCAAGUUUAAUUUCUCACUAUCCCUGUUUCUCCUACUUUAGAAACUAAACUAAACUGCAUAUAUUAAGCUUAUUGUGUUUUUCUACACUAGACAUUUUUUUUAUGGGUUAAUUAACUAAUUACGUGUUGUAAUUUUUGUCGCAGUUUAGUAAAGGAAUGUUUUCCACACCCUAAGAAACGAAGGUCUUCAUCACCUACUAAUAUUAAUAGCAUCACCCUAUUUGGACAAAAGAUAACAAUGAGCACGACUGGACGUGCUAGUACUAGUGGUAGUAGUAUUGAAUUUGAUCAAAUUCAUCAAGAGCAGGCAAUGACUGUUAAGAAUGCUUCUUUGAAAAGAAGAUAUAUUUUUGACGAGAAUGAUAAAGAUUGGGCUGCUGCUCUUGACAAGAAGAAGAAAAAGGUCAAGUUUUCGGUCAACAUGAAUUCAAGCAAAAGCAAGGGCAAGAACAAAGGCGUACCCGAACCUAUUCAUGAGUUGCCAGAAGAAUUCAAGCAAGUGAUAUUGGGCAAAAUGAAUGGGACAAAGCUCCAAUUAUUGGCACAGAAGAGUUUGUUCGAGGCUGACAUAAAGCCAGGCCAAGGUAGGUUGUUGCUACCUCGAGAGCAAACCACAUCCAAGAACCCCAAGAAGUUCCUCAAGCGCAACGAGAAGGCCAGACUUGACAAAUAUAAAAUGCAGGUUUCAUUGAUAGAUCCCGUGCUUCAGCAAGAAGAUAUUACCUUAGCGUGGUGGAAGCUAUCAAAGAAACCAAAAAAGCGAUCCUUUGUGUUGACACAUACCUGGAAUCACAUUGUUAAUAAGCAUCAUCUAGAUACAGAUGAUUUGGUUCAAGUUUGGUCAUUUCGGGCUAUUAACUCUAAUUUUAAGCAUGACGAUCUUAAUUGUGAUUGUGAUCGUGAUAAUAAUUGUCGUGAUGUUCAGGAUUAUGACAAUGUUGAUGAUGAUCUGAAUGACGAUGAUGGUCAGCUUCAUUUAGCGCUUGUUUUGGUUAGGAGAGGUGAUCAUGUCUUUAAGGAAGAAGGCAACAAAGAAAGUAGUGGAGGACGAGAAGUUGUAGGUGGCAGUAUUUGUGGAAGUUGCAGCCCUGAAAAUUUUGAGAGCAGCAGCCCUGAAAAAAUUGGUAGCAGCAGUCCCAAAGUUGGUGAAAAAAGAUCAAGAGACUUUUAAUCAAGACUCUUUUAUAUAAUAGAUUUUUGUAAAUUUGUUUAGAAUGAGCUUUUUGUAGCUACAACUAGCUAAAUUUGGUAUUUGCAUUAUCAUUAAGAAAUUAACUAACUAGCAUUGUCUGUAAAAGUGAUGAGAUUAUGAAUGGAUCCAUGUACCAUGCGUACAAUUUGUAGAAUUAGCAAUUGACAAUGGGAAAUGUUUCAUUAAAAAAAGCCCCAAAGAAGGCACCAGAGAACUUACUAAAAGCCCCAGGCUCAAAAGACCUUCCAACAAACUAGGAAGGAAAAUAAGAAUUAUAAAUAAAAAAAUUUACAACCCCAACAGUGAACACUGAACAACAGACAUGAACUCACCACCUCUUCUUCUUCUUCAGCAAUCUCUCACGCCAAUAUCCCCAACUGAAAAUCUAAUUCAAGUGAAAUCUCCACUCCCGGUGCACAAUAGCACACUCGGCGCUCGAACACCUGCAUCAUCAUCAUCAUCACUUUGUUAUAUAAGAGCUUGCGCUGGUAAAACAACAAGAAGAGUAGGAAGAGGAGGAAGAGGAAACCCAGAUGACUACCAUGGCACUCUCACUGCUCUCAACUCCAAAGGCCGCUUCCCUAGAAAAUCCCUCGGCCAGGUUUUUCACUUCCUCUCUCUCUCUCUCUCUCUCUCUCUCUCUCUCUCUCUCUCUCUCUCUCUCUCUCUCUCUCUCACUUAAUAAAUUUUCCCUUUUUUCUCUUUGUUUUUUUUAUGUUUCAAAUUCUGUGUUCUUGUGUAGGUUCUUAGACAAUGUGUAGAAGAUAGUAUGUGGGUUUCUUUCCAAUUAUGUUUCUUUAAAGUUUGUUUUCCAAAAUUUAGUUAGAAAUGGUAAGCAGCCUCGGGUUUAUUUUCUGAAUGAUUUGGUUUUGAAUUUUCUUAGUUUGUUUAAUUUGUCUGUAUUUCAGCAUUAUAUGUUGGACUCUGAGAUCAACGAGCAGCUCACUGCUGCGGCUAAUGUUGGAGAAGGUGAUGUGGUGCUAGAAAUUGGGCCAGGAACAGGUUCUUUGACUAAUGUGCUUAUUAGUGCCGGUGCAUUUGUUCUCGCAAUCGAAAAGGUGUGUGUUUCUUCUUGGUUAUCCAAUUAGAAUCCUGGGUCUUUGAAUUUGAAGCCCUGCAAGAAGAGUGGUAUUUGUUGCAAAUUUGACAAAUUGCUUUUAGUAUUUUACACUGAUUUGUAGAAUGUUUUAUGCGCUUUAGGAUCCACACAUGGCUACUCUUGUGAGUGAAAGAUUUUCAGAGACUGAACGGUUCAAGGUAAACCACAUUUUGGUCAUAUUUUGCUCUGUCUUAUGCUACCAAGAAAUGAGCUCUUCUUUAGCAUUCUGACAAACUUGGUAGUGAUAUCACUGAUAUGUUUCUAAAAGUGCUUUGCCUUUGGAGCAACAUCUUUGGAUUCUGAACAGGAUGGAAUUGAAGUUUUUAUGCGCUUUAUGCAUCAUUGUUUUUAUUUUUGUAAUCUGUAGGUUUUGAAAGAGGACUUUGUCAAAUGUCACAUUCACUCUCAUAUGUCAUCAUUGUUGGCAAGUAUAGAGCCAUCCAGUGCAGAUUCAAGACAUGCGAAAGUAAGUACCCUUCUUGGUUGAUUAAAAUGAAUUUGACUUCGUAAUGAUGCAUGCUAAUUUCGCAACAUUCCAUGCUCAAAUGGAAACACUUGGUAUUUUCUCCAUGUUUACAAAUAUCCUAAAAUAUGGCCUAUUUGAGUUUCUGAUUGCAGGUAGUAGCUAAUAUACCCUUUAAUAUAAGUACAGAUGUUGUCAAACGACUUCUUCCAAUGGGUGACAUCUUUUCUGAAGUAGUACUCUUACUCCAGGUUGGCAUUAUUCUAUUGAUCUAUGAUUCUAAUUGUUUCAAGUUAUGUAAUUACAUUAUGUAGCCCUGUAUUAAUAAUCCUUUCAUGAUUGGUAAUGUUAUCUGGAUUGUAUAUCUCAUUCAAGCAUAGCCUGAAGCUAACACCUUAAUAGGAUAGGGAAAGGGAUAGAGAGAGAGUAUGAAUUUGAAUCUUUAAUGAGUAGAGCAAAUCGAACUAGAUCACUAGUAAUUUAUGGAUUUGAUAUGAUUCAUAAUUUGAUUCCUUCAUCACAAUAAUGGUAAAAUUAUUUCAGGAGGAGACAGCUUUGCGGCUGGUGGAAUCAUCUUUGCGAACAUCUGAGUACCGGCCCAUCAAUAUCUUCGUCAAUUUCUAUUCAGGUAUCUCUAUGUUUGGAAUUAAUUUGGUAUUUAUCCUCUACAAACCAGAACCUAUGAGAAAAGGGUGAUAACUUUUAUAUGGUGAAAGACUGGGAUGAGUUGCAGCCUGAUAAACUUUUAUGCCAGUGAGAUACAAGUGUAUAUACUUCUGUUCCUUUUUGGUUUUUCUGAAUCUGGGUUCUGUUUUUCAUUUUCCUUUUCAGAUCCUCAAUUCAUAUGUAAGGUUCCAAGGACAAAAUUCUUUCCUCAGCCCAACGUAAGAAUUUGUAAUCCCAUUUGGGAAAAUAUAUGCCUUCUAACACUGUCAAUAUUACUUGUUUGAAUGAGUUGAAAAAAUAGCAGUACAGUUUUUUUGGAAGUUAAACCAAAAUAGUAACUAGCCACAAAUUCAGAUUGACCUGAUAUUGUGUGUGUUGCAGGUUGAUGCUGCUGUGGUUAAAUUUAAGCUGAAGCAACCUGCACACCACCCCUCAGUUUCCUCAACUAAAAGCUUCUUCUCAAUGGUUGUUCCAAUUUCCAUAAUCAAUAUCAAUCAUUUUAGAUUACCAUUAGUAUUACAGAUUUUCAUUGCAAAAAAAUAUAUUGUCCCUGUAAAUGGACGCAAGCAGCAGAUGCUGCAUUUUCAACCUGAUUAAUAUCUGACACACAGUAGUGGGGAUAUUAGGGUUGAAUACUCAUUGCAUAGGGUGCGGUGUCUUUACAUUAAAAAAUUGGGUCAAUCUUCUUGUUAUUCUCACUCAAUUCUUCCGUUAGUACAUCUCUCCAGAAAUACAUAAGUUAUGAUUUGAGAACUCUCCCAAGUGUAGAUGAUUUCAUUGCCAGCAAGAUCAAUUAGGACUCUGCCUUUCCUUUGGGCCGUUAUUAUAAGAUGCCUUGUUUGUAUUUUGAUACAGGUAAAUUCUGCUUUUAAUGGGAAACGUAAGAUGUUGAGGAGAUCACUUCAGCACAUAUGCACGCCCAUGGAGAUUGAAAAUGCUUUGGGAAAUGUUGGUCGUCCUGCCACGGUAUUGAUAGCUAUUUCUCUGCUUACCAAUUAUGUUGGAAAAGGGUUACAUAAGCUCCUGCCUCUGGAAAUUCAGUCUACUAACUUUUUCGUUCUUAUUGUUCUUUUGCAGUCAAGACCAGAAGAGCUAUCCAUGGAUGAUUUUGUGAAGUUGCAUAAUUUGAUUGUGAAAGUAUGACAUUUGUGGUUUCUCUAGAAGGCCGAUACUUUUCACACACAUGCAAGCCGGUUCUACCGCACUAGUUGCAGCAAAUCUCAUUCAAACAGCAACUGCAAAAAUUUGUAGAGAAAGCUGGACAAAAUUCCAUAGAAGUGUUUCUGGCAAGAGCAAAUUGGAAAGGAAAUGGAUCAUUGGCGGACUUGUUCUUCAAAAAAUGGUUUUUAGGGCCCUUAGCAGUAUGAUACAAGCAGAAGCAGCAGCAUUUUUUGCCUAUAAAACAAUGAUUUGUGCAUACAUUUGCAUCCCAUUAAUAUUACCAAAUUGUAAUCCAGUAACCAAAGUAAAGAACAAAGAAAAUAAAAGAAAAUUGAGUUGCUAGUUAUUAUGUGUCGAAUAAUUUCUUUGUUUCCUGGUGCUUGAAUUUGAGGCUGAAGGCUAAGAAAUUAUUUAUACUUUUCUAAGGCCUCGGAGGUCCUCGACAUACCAAUAACACAAACAAGGGUGCAAGUUUAACUAAUUUUUGACAACAAUGCAAAUUUUGGCAGGUGAACAAACUUUUGGCAUUAGUGAACUUUGAAGGUUGAAUUAAACUUUUGGCAUUAGGUGAAGAAAUUCUAUUCAGAACUACUAUAAGUCCAAGGUCCAAUAUUGAAAUAAUUUCAAAUGUUUUCCUUGACCUUGUCCGUGUCAACAAACAAUUCAAAAUGUCUCGUUAUCAGCAAAUAUGAAACUCUCUGUUUACGUGCUCCUCUUUCCAUUUUAUUAAGAAGAUCAUGAUUUACAGAUAGUUGCUUAGCCAUACCAUUCUUACAACAUAUAAUUGCACGAGAAUUGCCCGACACCAGCAUCCACUCGUCAUGGGGGUUCUUAAAGAGAUACGACUGCAAGUAUGCAGGAGUUUGAUAGUUCAUUGCGCCAUCAAAUAUGCCAAAUAGUCCUACAUCAUGGUCACCACCACCAAUCUGUCUAAGCUCUGCAACAACAUAGCUUUGUGUAGGAAUAUUGUUGUUUGUUCCAUUUGGCAAGCGGAAGCCAUAACAUUUACAUUGUAUGAGCCAUUUGAAACCUUGUUUUUUUCUUCUCCAUAAUCAGGAACAUCUAUUCUUGAUGAUGCACAUUUUCGUUGGUACGAGUAUGUGAUGAUGAAUCUUUACUUAAUUCAACUUCAUGUUUUGGAUUGGGACCACCUAACCCAACUUUUUCCUUCAUCUCGUGGAGAAUUUUAUCAACUUUCUUGAAUGUUGUAGGGAAAAUACUGUCUUCACUAGAAUCAGAAGCAAGUGAAGAGAAAAUCUGGGGAGCAUGUAGAGAGAGAAAUGAAGACGGUCAUGAUCAUCAUCUUCCACAGAUACUAAUAGAGUAAGCACAAUGAUAGUCAUAGACAUUAUCCAUGCAAGUCUACCAAUAGCAAUUAUUUCCAUAGCUCAAAUCUUAGUUCAAUCUAAAAGGAAAAUCUGUUUUAUAUUAAAAAACAAAAGAAAAAUCUUUUUGUUCAAUUAAUUCUUUCUCAACUAAUUAGGAGGAACUUUAAGUUUUCGGUGCCAAUAGCAGUACUGAUUGGAUAAACCAUUAAAUUAAAUUGAGAUCAUUUUCUAUAUAAAUUGGAACUAAUCUUAGCAGCUUUUAGCUAAGGCCAGCGGCUGUAUAUGUAUAUUUUGUUGGAUGUAAAGAGCUAUUUUCAACAAUGACAUUAUGGUAAUAAAUUCUGCAAGUGUACUUCACACUCAAGUGACUUUUUACAAGUUUAAGAAAGAACAAGAAAAUGUCAAGUAACUUCUGGUUUUUCAUUUUGGCUAUGGUAUGUUUCAUUCAGAUCAAGUAUCCUAUGGAUAGGCCAGCCAAGGCCAUACGAUCUAUAUAUAAACGUAAAGUAAUCAUUAAACAAUCCAAAAUCUUGAGGUUUUCCCCCUUCAAAUGUUAAAAGGUCAAAAUUCAUACAAUUAUACCUCAGCAAUGCGACGGUCAGCAAGAAAAUACAGAGAAAAUCAUAAGAAAAUGCAAAUCACUACCAUAAGGAAAACCAAAGAGAAUCAUCAUGAGCCAUUUUUCAAAUUGGUUUUACUUUGCAACGUCCUAUACAACUAUGAACGAGGCACGGCCGGCCUUGACUUUUAAGUGGCCUUGGGUCAGAAAUUAAAAUGAGGCACCUUUCCCUUUUUCUUGUUAAAUCACAAUUUAACAAGAAAAAAACUAUGCACAUGUACUUUCCUUUUGGCUUAAAUAUGUUAGUUGCGUUAAACUAAACAAACAAUAGUACAUGAAUCAUAAAGAUAAGCCACGGCGUAGAUUAUAUCCGACUUCAUUUCAGCUGCUCGGGCCAAGGAUGAGACUUCUCAAUUAACAACUAGAUUUUCUGUUAUGAAGAUAAGAAAGUGUAGCAGAAAAAAAACUAAGGAUGUUGAAGUUAUAAUAUGUAGAACAUUUAUCUCGUAUAACUUUUGAAGCUUCUGUUAUGAUGAACUAUUAGUCAUGCAACAAUGAAUUCCAAAUUUAUAUUUUCAUAUGACUAAAUUACUUUAAUGAUCAUGUAAGAACAAACAAUAGUAACACAUGAAAAUGCAUAUUCAGAAAUAAUCUGAUUACUGUAGCCGACUCAAGCAAGAACUAUAUAACACUAAGCGACAAAAGUUUUAUUCACCUUCCUCAAAUCGCUAUGACUAGAAACCCCUUCAACCUGUAGUUCAUCAACAGGUGCACCUGUUCCAUGUGCUAUACUUUCAAGUCUAAAGGCUUGAAUUUCAUACCUUGACUGAAAGAGACCUAUAUAUAGCAGAAGAGAAAACACAAUCAGUCUUUUAACCAAACACUUUUCCUACAUGAUGUAAUAUUGGCCACUAACUUCCUUUCUUCAUUGAAAUAAAAGACAAAAUUAAAAGAAGCAAACUUAUAAAUGGUAACCUGGCUUUGCAAAAACUUUACAGUGACCUUAUUACUACUUCCCUAUUUAUCUUGCUUGACACUGCAGCAUUGAAAACAGAUACUAUUUUCAUUUGCUUUAGCAGCGAUCACUUGGAGACCAAACUACAAGCAUGAAUUCAAGAGAUAAAUGAUCAAGGAACACUAGUUUUUGUGAUGUUAUUGUAAAAGAGUACUGUAUCUAGUCAUAUUAGUUAAUGGAAGAAGGUUACGCAUAUAGUAAGGCUGUGAUCAUUACCUUGCUUGAUAAUGAUAUCAAUCACCAGGGAAAGGGGUGCAUCCUUCUCAAUUGACAUAACAGAACAAAUUCUAUCAAAACUUUAACCACAUACUGGUUAACCACAAAUGAUUGAAAUUGAGCUCAUAUUUCUUGUGCUGCAGGUUGAUGCUGCUGUUGUUUAACUAAGCUGAAGCAACCUGGGCACUACCCCCAGUUUCCUCCACUAAAAGCUUAUUCUCAACCAGUAUUUAAAUUUCGAUAUUCAGGAACAAGAUCAUGCUUCUUGGAAUAUAUUACAGAAUUUCAUGCAUGAACAAAAAAAGAAGUUCCUGUUAUGAAGCAAGCAACACAACUACUGCUGUCUCAACUGCAUUAACAUCUAAAACACAGCAGUGGGGGUUUUAGCAGUCAUUCUCCAACAAUACAUCAGUUAUGAUUUCAUUCGUAGCGAGAUCAACAAGGAAACUCCCUUUUUACCGUCAGUCAUAAUAGCAUGCCAGGGUUGUAUAUUGACACAAUACAUUAUGCUUUUAACGGGAAACGUAAGAUGUUCUGCUAACUUUCUUGCAACGUUUUUGCAGUCAAGGCUAGAAGAGCUAUCCAGGGAUGAUUUUUUCGAUUGCAUAAUUUGAUGUUAAAGUAUAACAACACAUAGAGCAAGCCUGUUCUACCACAUGAGUUGUAGCAUAUUUCAUUCAAACACGAACUCGAUAAUAUAUAGAGCAUGCUGGAAAAAUUUCAUUAUAUAGUUCUAGGAAAAGAACUUAUCAUUGGUGGACUAGUUCCUAACAGGAUCAUUUGAACCAUAAACCACGUUUUUUAGCUCAGACAAUGAUUAUGACUUGUGCAUUGCAUAAUGCUGCAAGCAAAGUCAUCCAAACUUAUCACUUGUGCCUUUGUGUUAGUUAUAAGAACCCAAUAAGAGAGUUACCCGAAUUAAAUUUUAUGCACAGAUACUGAAAAUUAGAACAAUUUUUCUCACUGAACAUGAUACUAACAUUUUUCUAUAAAUCAACAAAAAUCCAUAAUAAUCAAAUCCACAACGUAUGCAUCUCUGAAAUACUAUUCUUUUCCAUGUCACACACCAUAACAUAAAUAAAACUCUAAACUGAACCUUAAGGAAACAAACAAUAUCAACAAAAACUCACUGUGUCCAUUUCUUGCAAACCCAUCCAUCAUCACAGUGCAAAUGCAAAACAGAACUCCUCUGUUUUCCCCUGCUUUCCCCUGUUUCACCCAACUCACCCAUGAAACUGGUACACAAGCUCCAAAGCCCUCAGUUUAGAUUCAUGAGGGUCAAAACCCUUCACACUCCCAACAAACCCAUCACCAUUCAGCCGCCUAUCCUCCACCACGGCAGCAGCAGAAGGCGAAAGCCGCCUUUUCGGCCGCUUGUUCUUAAUGAAGCAAUCCCUCAUCUGCUCCUCAACCAUGUCAAUUGUUGCGUCCCUGGAAUUCCCCUCUCCAACGCCAUCAUCAAAAUCAUCAUCUUCCCCGUCCCCGACUUGCAUCGGCUCGUUGCCGGUGGCGGAGGAGAGAGAGUUCUGCGGUUGGAGUUGGGGGAAUUGGGGUGUGGAGAGAAAAUUUGAGAGGUGGUGGUGGGCUUGGUGGAGAGAAGAGUAGAUAUGGAGAAGGUAUGUGGGGUCAGAGAUGGUGGGGAGCUGUUUGGCCAUGUGGGUUGCUUGUUCUAGGGAGAGAAUAAGGUCUGCUAAUGGUGGUGGUGGUGGUUGAGGCUCUGGUUCUGCCUCUACCAUGGAUUCCAUUGAAGAAGUCUCAAUCUUUUGAAUGAGUUAAUAUCAGUACAAAUCAAUCUGUUGGCUUUUUUUUAUAUUUUUAAAUAAUUUAAAUUUUAAUGACAACAAUCUGUUGGCUUUAACUGGAAUUGAUGACUGCUGUUUGUUUCUGCUUCUCUCAAAAGUUGGUUGCUUUUCUGGAGCGCGUGUGGCUUCUUGGCUUAUUUGCUUAUUGGGCUUCAGUCUUCAGAGGGGGAAGAUUCUUAUUAGAAUCAGACUCCGUUUGAGUCUGUAGUUCUUCCAUGACUGGUUGGUUGUGCAUGUGAUCUUUUGUUACUUUUCACUUCGUAGUCACUGUUGUCCAGAGUGGUUUUUUUUUUUCCAAUAUUUUAUGUUAGUUUGAGACAAAUUCUUAAACAAUUUUGCUCCUAAUUGCAACCAAACGUUUCUUCCUAAAAAUUUGUUCACCUUUUUUUUUUUUUUUUCCGACACCAAAAUUUGAACUUUAUAUAUUAGUACAAUAUAGCACUUUCUUUUUAGGCCAACCUUCAGCUUUGAUUAGAGCCCAACUAUGCUACUGUACCUGCAAUUAUGUCCUAAGAGCCCAUGAAGGUAUAAUUGCAAUUCAAUCUUCCUCCAUUCUUCCAUUUCAAGUUCACAAAAAAUACCAGUAUAAGUUUUGGCAAGUUAGGGCGAGUGUGCUCCACACUCUGCACUCGAAUUCGAAUCCCCUUCUCAUACUUUAGAUUAUAUUAAAGUAGAAUAUUGCUUGUAUAAUAAAUAAAAAAUAAAAAAAACCCAGCAUAAACUUAUGUUUUACCCACAUGACUAGUAUAAAGUAUACAUAAAAUGUUAAUUCUUUUUAAUAGGCUUCAAGUUCAAAUACCAAGUGUUGCUAGAGGAAAGGGGAGUGGACCUAAAUCUGCACAACUCAAAUAACAUAAUUGUUUGAGGAGGAUGUUAAAAGAAGAUAAACAAAUUGGUGGUGAUCAUAAAAGUGGAAACAGUAAUGCCAAAGACAUAUACGGAUGAGCUUUUCUACAAUGAUGACUAAAAGUAAUUCUUUCCAUAAUGUCUAAGCUUUUAACAUCCGAAGAUAGUCAUCUAUUAUAGACAUUGCAGAUGAACGAUAACCCGAACCGAAGAGGUUAUAGUGAUUCAAGUAAUGAUACAACAUAUAAAGAUCUUUCCUCUUCUCAAACCCUGGUUGUUUGGGCAUCACCUGAGGAUACAAUAAACCAUUAAUGAAGACAUGAAGAAUUAAAACGGCUUGAAAGGCAUUAAACUUUACUUUUAAAUGUGAGUUGAUAAUAGGAAGCAACUUCAGUUGGUUUGGUUGGAUUUAUCUUUUCUUUUGACAGUUAUGUGCUACUGCCACUCACUCAAACACCUUUGCAUGAACAUUGGAAGCCCAGGUAGGUAGACGAAAAAACAGAGCAGAGAUUAUUUUGAGAAAGAGGAGAUAAAGAAAGGACCUACCUCGAAAUAGGAACUGUAGAAAGAUCCUCCAAAACCAGCACACCAUGACAUUCCAAAUUCUGCCUCACUAUGUCCAUCUAUAAAAAAUUGCAAAUGAUAACAACAAUGCACUUAGUGUUUUAAACAGCAGUUGCCACACUAUAUUUCACAAUACAAGCUAUAUGAAACAUGUUGCAUUAAUCAUUUUAUAAUCAGAGACAAUCAAAAUGUGCGUGUCUGUGUGUUUUGGAGUGAUUUGGGAGCCUCAGACUUUCAACUGGUCCUCUCCCAGAAGAUACCCGAGAUCAAGGGUGGAAAUAAUGUAUGUACCAGUACCAUAUUUUCUUGUAUACUACAAACAUAGGUUAGGCUUCAACAAUUAGCAACACAGUUUGAUUUCAUGUGAUCUAUCCGACAGCAAACUGAUAUCUGAACUAACUUUAACUUACAGUAACAUGCUGGGUCAAGUAUAACAGGCUCGCCAUUCUUGUCAGAGCUGAUAUUUCCGCUCCAUAAGUCCCCAUGUAACAAGCAUGGCUCAAUCACUACAUUAUCAAAGAAAGGUCCCAUACUCUUCACCAAUCUUUGUCCUGUUAAACAUGAUAAUCCAACAGCAAACAUAACUUUUAUUUAUAAUGAUUUGAGAGGCUACAAAUGAAUCUUCAGAGUAUUUUCGUAUGAUAAUAUUGAAAGAAAAGGCAUCUCAAAUUUUGAAAGUUUUAUUGAACUAAAGGUCGAGUGAAAAAAGAGAAACAAGUUUCCAACUUACAUGCAAAAACAUGUCAGUGCUUACUCAUACUUUUCUUCGGAGAUACUUUUUCUUUUUAAAAAAAACAAGAUGCCAGAACCUAAAAUUAUACUUUGAGUUCACAAACUAAAGUUGAAUAAUCACAUCUGCUGUGAUUGAAGAAGCACUUCUCCAAAUAAAACUCUUAUUUUUCUCAUUUUCCAUAGAAAUUAUUUGAAAGUUGAGACCUGGACUCCCCAUUGAAACUUGUGGGCAGUUGGAUUACUAAGAAGUAGGUACUUUGAUAUGGUGCUAGCUCAUGAUUUCUUUUCAGUCAACUUAUCGAAUUAUAUCAUCUUCCUAAAAGGUAAGCUGAACUAGGCAUGAUUUGGGAUUGACCAUCGACGUCAAGAAAAUAGACAAUAUUUACCUUUUUCAUAAAUGGUACUAUCACCAUACUGGUCCAGUGCCAGCUGCAACUGAUAACCCAGUCUAUGCUCCCCAUAAAACUGAAUCCAAUCUGAUGACCAAGUGUUUAUCUGCGGAGUACUGCAAGGGAAAGUGUGUCAGUUCCAUAUACCUUGAGUAAUUUUCCUUGAAUUUCGAUAGUUGUGUGUGUGCGGACAUGCACAUGAUCCAGAAAGACUACCUGCCUACAGUGUUGUUAACUUCAAAACCAAAACCUUUUUCAGAUUUUCCAGCUUUAUGCAUUUCAGCAAGCUUCCUGCCUAGCACAGACUGAGUACCAAUAUACCAUUAAAAUUCGAUUACAAGUUGUUUUCACCUAUAUAAAUACAUGAAAAUUUUCCCCAUCCUCACCUGAUUACUUCUACGUGAACCAAAUUCAAUAAAUUCCAUAAUGAUGUAAGAACCACCAGUAGGUAGGGGCCCAAACUACAACACAUAAGAAGAGGUUAUCUAAGCUUUAAGCAUUGUCAUGGACUUCAUGUUCACAUUCCACUAUGGCUUGAUAAUUUAACAAAUUUUAAAACUUCCACACCUUGAAUGGCUUAGGGACACGAAUUGUUCCAGUUUCAAACAUGGCACCUAAACCAAGAGCCUCUCCCUCAAACAUCGAUGGCCCAAUGCUCCUGAUUCAAUGCUUUAACUAAACAUAUUUAUGUCUUCGAAAUGGAAAUAAGGAUUCAAACAGCAUAUGAAACUGAAAUUUCCAAAACAAAUUAGAAGCAACUUUUGUGAUCAUUUUGAUAGCAAAAACCUGUUUGUUUUGACAAAGAAAGAACCCGCAUCAGUGUCAUAAUGACUUGCACGAUUGAUGCAACCUCCUCCUACUGGACUAAUUCUUGUUAUCUGUGUUGCAUUUCCUUCUGAGAGAAUCCAUUCACGAACCGGAUCCUCACUCACCACCGCCACUGCCAAAGAACUAUGACUGGUGAAUUUAAUCAAACACAACUCAGCUUGACAGAGGAUCAGCUAAUACAUAGAGGCAUGACAACACAGCUAAAAAGCUGUCAUUUCAGUGAAAAUCAGCUUCAUCAAAGUUGCAAUCAACAAUAGCCCCAAAUUCAAAUGACUACUUAUUGAAUUGAAAACAAAACAAUUAUUCAAGACAACCCACAUAUAACAGAGAGACUUCAUCAAAUCUACCAUAAAAAAAAACCCGGGAACUCAUUACAAAAUGGAUAAUUUUUCUUAAACCCCACGAAAUGACUGACAUUUAGCUCAACUACAUAAGAAUACACCAAUUCAAUAGGCACAAAAAGGCUCAUACUGCAUCAACUAAGUCAUGGUUGUUCUUGAAAAAACUCAAACAACGACCCCAUUAGAGCUCGAAUUAGCUAAAAUGAAACAUGGGAUUUUGUUUAUACUCACUGGCAAAAGUUCUGUGCUUGGUGGAGGACAGUCGAGGAAGGCGAGGCAGAGAAGGUAAGCAAGAGGAAGAGAGCGGUAAGAGCCCAACGUGUACCAACAUUAUCACCCUCUAUGUAAAAUUCUACACGCUUCUUUUACUAAUGGUUCGGUUGGAUUUGUCCAUGUGGUCUCUAGCUUCUUUUGGUUUCUGGAGUUUUUCGUGUCCGUCGUGAGAGCAGGGGAAGACAACGAUGUGGUCGCUAUGGUCACUUGAGGUUUCAUGGAAUUUGGUACAGCUUUCAUGUAUGUGCUCCACGUGUAUGCUUUAUUUUGCUUAUUUUAUUUUAUUUUUUUGAGAGACAUUUUGCUAAUUUUAUUAAGGAAACUCAUUUGAGAUUCAUCAUUCAUUAAAAAGGACGGCAACUCAAACUUGGGAUAACUCUAACCUAACCGUAGGGGGAGAAGUCUUACUAGACCUGUUCCAAAGUCAUGUAAUUUGGUGGAGCAUUUGCACAUUCCAUUUCGUGUCCAUGCCAUUUUUAAUAGGUCAUGUAUUGGCCUAACAUGGCUACUUGUAGUUGUACCAUACCACAUUUAUUGGGAUCGGACUAACUUUUACACUCAAAUCCUGUGGUUAAAUUUAUAAGAGAUUUAUAGCUUAAAUGGUUUAGAGCAGUUAUCUAUGCACACUUGAGAUUAUGUGUUAAAACUCGCUCCACUAAUAUCGCUUGUAUAAAAAUAAUUUUUUUGCUGUACUCGUACCAACCCAACCCAUUUUACAAUUCUAUGAUACCAGAUGAGACAUUUCAUUUAAGUUUACAAACCAUCUGUAGUUGUAACCUCUAAAAUAAUUGGGGUUUGGUCCUCACAAGAUCAUGCAACAUCACUAGUUACUUGAAACCAAUUUUCCCUGUGGCCCAGUUAAUUAUCAGACUUGAAACAACGGCAAAAAUUGAAUUCAGGAAGUUGGUAUGUUCAAUUAUGGAAUUCGUAGAAAAGAUGUACUCUCAUAGUGAGUAGAAUGAAUGGCUCAAAACAGAGUAUGAACAUUCAACUUCUGUGGACAAACUUUAUAUAUACAGAAAUCAAAUUAUAUUUGUAAGCUCCAUUUUCCAACUUGCUACGCAAAAAUUCAGAGUUUUGUCGCAGUGAUUUAGCACAACCUCCGCCGCUCGUACCAUCUACAACGGAUAAUAACAUUCUGUGCAAGGUAUGAGAAUCUCCAAUCAAACCUACCCGCCCUACCAUGUGGUUUUUACUGGUUCUCUGGAUCAAACUCUUUCAUUCUAUCGUGGCGUUGUUUCUGGUUCUCUAGAUGGAGUCGGUUCGGAGGGGUUUCCAGGAGCAGAUUCUGAAUGCCCUUGGUUGCUAACAUUACCUGCUGAACGCUCAGAGCCAGGUAAUAGCCACAGUUGUGAAUGUUCAGUUGAAACCUCAGAAUCAUCAAACGAUCGAGGCAUGCUAAACGUUGCUGAUCUCACAUGUUUUAUUCCAAGGGAUUCUUUUAAUGGCAAACGGCAAACUGGACAGGUAGACUGUUUCCUCAGCCAUGUAUCAAUGCAAGAGAGAUGAAAACUGUGGCCACAUUUGGGCAUGAUUCGCAAUACUUCUUUCUCUUGGUACUCCCCCAAGCAUAUUGAGCACCUGCAGGACCAUAAAGAUUAAACUUCAAUCUAGCAAGCGUCCAAAAGGAAUGAAAUGACUACCAAAACUCAAGGACAUUCCAUAAAAAGAGCGGCAAACUAACGUCCUGUAAGCUAUAAUAAAUGUUAGAUCUUUUCAAUCAACUAAUUCAGAUUUUAAGGUUAGGUGGGAAACAAAGGAGAUUCCUUAGGCACUAGAAGAAAAUAAAUUGCAAAGCUUACUGCGCAUCUUCCAAGGAGCUGAAAGCUUUAUGAUCAAACUUCAUGGUAGGGAUUGCAGAAACCACAACUUGUUCAAGGCCACUGGCCUGAUGCUCUGGCUGCCAGCAAACAAUGAAACCUUAGAAUCCAUUGCUCAAACCUUAAGUUACAAUGACAACACGAAAAACUCUCAAGUUUUGGUGGAAUGACAUCAGUAGCAGUGACCACAAAAGCAAAAGGGCAUGAAGGAAACCAAUUCAGUCUCUUGGGUUAUCAAAACUAAAAACCAUGAAGACGUAGGAGUUCUUUGUAUGAUUCAAAUAGAACAAUCAAAUAUCAAAGCUAUUGUUCAAGGCCACGCCAUUUUUUAUUUAUCCUUUCUUUUCAGUAAUUUGUAUUGUCAACACACUAGGGAAAACUAGUACAUUGCAACAUAUAGCAGAGUUGAUUCUCUCAACUACAGCAGAGUUCAUAUCAAAACAAGAACAUAACAAGCCAUCAAAACAAAUGAAAAUCAUGAAACACAAACCAGCCUACCCAAAUAAGCUACUGAGAAGCUAACUCACAUAUUGAUCCCAGUUACAAAACAAUCAUUCAAGCAUAUUCAACUGAAAACAAAAAUACAUACAGACAUAAGAGGUAUUCAUAAUUCAGAAAACUACCUCAAAUCAGAUUUCCUAGCUGAGAAAACAAAUAUAGGACAGGCAAUUCAGACAUACCUGCUCAACAUCAAUCCUUGAUUCAAUCUCGAACAUAGGCCGUGAUUCGCCACCUCUUAGCCUGCCACAAAUGAUUCUUGUGCAAACGAAUACUAUAAAUGUUGCACUCAUACCAAAACCAAUAACAGUAGUGACCAAGUUCAUACCCGAACCCAUAUCUGCAAAUUCCUACUUCUCUCACCCAAAAGUCCCAAAACCAAAACAAAGACUCACAAGCCCCAAUAACUAAACGAAGCUGGAAAAAAACCCACUAAAACAAUGAAAACCCAUAACUAAAAACAACGAAAGAAUGGUGAAAACAAAUAAAAAAUGAAGAGUGACAAAGACCCAGAUCAGAAUCACCGAAGAAAUGGCUAGUUUUGAAAGCAAAAUUCAGGAAGACCAGUCACAAACAAAGCUAGCCAUUUGGAAUCUCAAUCGCUUUGGAUAGACUCAAAGCUUAAAACAAAGUCAUGGAGGCUUUCAAUAGAUGUUGAAGAUGAGAAAAGGGAGUUGUGGAAGGAAAGGAGGCAGUUCAUUGUCUUGCGCUUUGGACUCGCAUUAAUAUGGGGUCCAUUUCAAUGGGACCCAACAACAAAAUAUUAACAGGGGUUAUAUAUCUGACGGUUAAAACAAAAAAGAGGGGAUUUUAUAAAGAUUCCCAUGUUUGUUUAAGGUAGAGAGAAGAAGAGAAUCUGUGUGUGUCCUUGCUCCUCUGCUCCUCUUACCUUUGCAUCUUCUGUGCUUUCUCAACCAUACUACUUCUGGAUAAGGCCUUCGAAUUGGGUCCAAAAAGUAUCUUCACAUGUAUGUUCCUGCAAUUUUGCAAAUAUUGAAGGGCCAAUAAUUUAUUUCAAUGUGUGGAACGCUUUUCUUUGCAGCCAUUGGUCAUGAGCUGGCAAGAAUAAGAUGGAUUCUUAUAGUUUAUUACAUUAAUAUUUUUCUUUCCAAUCAUUGUCUUUGUUGUAGUUCAACGGCUGGGAAGAAGUGUUGGUUGCUUGCUACUUGCUUAAUUCUAAGAGGCCAAAGUAGAUAAAACUAAUGCAGGAAAACUUGGAGCUCUGUCAAAGGUACUUGUUCUAUGGACUUGGAUUCUCAUAUGAGCAUCCAACUUUGUGUUUCUUCUUUUGGCCUUUUUAUCUUAACAUAUGUGCUUUAUUGUUUGUUUGUUUUGAUUUCUGAAAGACCAACACUUGUCACCUUAACCGCAUUAAAAAAAGACACUUGUCACCUUAAAGAAACAUCAUUUUUUUUCCUUUAUGUCUUCAUCUUGGGUUUGAUUGGAAGGGAGCCGAUGUGGGAAUGAAUCUUUUGAGAAAAAGCUAUCUUCUUCAUAGUGUAAUCAAUCUUUGGGAUGGAACACAUGAUUCCAUCCUAUUAUAUAGUAUAUGUGUACUUUUUGGCACAUAAAAAAAAGGGAAAAACAAAUAGGGUGGUAUGCUCCAUGAGGAGAAAAGUCUUUGGGUGCCGAUGCUCGGAAACACACUCACAUGGAGGUGGGAUCGAAUGAGACUCUUAUACAUGGAUCUAUAUAAUGAGUAAGUAAAUUAAUAACGUCAUAUGAUGUGUUGCAUUUACCCACAAAUUAUUUUAUGCUCCAAUGACAAUAUAUUAUUUGCAUUCUAACACAGGAUUGUGACAUUGUUGCACUAACAAUGUUAUUUGCACUCUAAGAAAAGUGCGGUUCCUAAAAAAAUAUAAAACAAAGACUUUGUUUUAGAGGGGGAAAAAAAAGAAACAAAGACUAAAUAUUUAAUUGUUGAAUCCCACCAAAACCAGUUGACACGUAAUGGUUUGGCUAUGGCACGUUAUGAGAUCGUAAUAAGCUGUAAACAUAGACUGAAGUUGGCUAGCCAACUUAAGUCAAGUUCGCUAUAGCGAGUGAAGUUGGCUGAAGUUGGCUAGAACGAAUGUACUCCCUACUUUGUACUCAAGUUCAAAUCCCACACCUCUAGUUUAGUUUAAAUUCGAUUAAAAUAUAAUAUCAUUUCUAUAUAAAAAAAAAUUUGCACCACUCAUGCCUACCGAAAUUGACUUCAUCUCACUUUGGCAAUUUCUAUUUCCUCUCAAUUUUUCUCACCUCAUGCUCUCAGUAGUUUUUCCAGUCUCUCAAGUCUUAACCUUUGUUUCAGGUCCACUGUUGAAGGGCAUUUGCGGUAACUUUCCAUAUGUAUGGUUAAUGCGUUUUCAUAGAAGAAACUAUGAAAGUUUUCAUCCUAAAUUCCUAAACAAGUUGAAGUGACAGAAAAAAGACAUGUAGGAUUAAGUUUUCCUCAAAUUGAACAAAGGGCAAUGCUCUCUAUGUCAAUAAUUUCUUUGCUUAGCUAUUUUCCUCAGACUUGCCAAAGGAUGACUUAGAAGGCACACAAAAAGAAAAAUAAUUGGGAAAACUUGUAUGCAGCUUCUUUGCACAUGCAUCUGCUUAAGCCAGGCCAAUGAAAUGAAAAAGGUUCAUGCCUUCAGCUGCUACAGUUAUUAUUCUUCUAUGUGGGUUUCCAAUAUAUUUGGAAUUAUACCAAUUCUAUUCUUAUAGGUCACUCAAGCAAUCAUUCUUUGUUGUUAGUGAUUUCUGCACUAAAGAAAUGGCCAUUUCCAAAGAGAAACAGCCAAACUAAAGUGCACCAACCAAUCUGUGCACCUUCUUCCAUACAAAAUUCAAGGCUCCCUGUGAGUCACCAUAAACAGAAGAAGAAGAAAAGUGCACAGAACACAAAUGCUCUCAAAUUCAUGUCACAAUUGCAAAAAUUCAAAGGCAACUACAUGAGGCACUAAAUGAAUAGAAGAGAAAGCUUUUCAAAAUCUAAAUUUAAAUUACCUGUCAUUACAGUAAAACUUUCAAUAGAAAAGUUCCCAAAAUGAAAAGAAAACCAACGAAGUAACAACACUGUCAUCAGAAAGCAGACAACAACAUAAGCAAUGAAAAGAACCAAUCUUUCAAUAGAGAAAAGAAAAAAAAAAUAUAGUCAAACAGUAAACCCAGUGCACAUACAGACACACACACCAAACAGUAAAAUUUCACAUAAAAAAUUCAAAUCCUUCUGAAGUUACAUUUUUGAAGGUGGCCUUCCCAUUAGCAGCAUUAAAAGUAUGUAGUGUGCAAGUGGGAUGAGGAUAAACUUAUUGUCAAGAAAAUCAAACAUGGUCCCAUGGAUAGACAACAGGGCUAAAACACAUGCGUAGGUACAAAAUCAAUCAGAAACAUACCACUUUUGAAGUCAACUAAGAAUAAAUCUCAUCUUACAUCACUAUUUUGCGUGGCCUUAUCAAUGUCAAAACAGCCAGCCAAAUCCUAUUGGAUAUUUCAUAUUUUUCCACACCACACCAACUACACAAGUGACCAUUUUACUACUUAAGAGUCAGCAUAUGUACUUUGUGUCACUCUUGGGAUCAAGACACACAACAAACUGCAACUAAUUCAUUCCCAUCGAUCUCUGUUUCUCAGCUAAAUAAAAACUCAUCCAACUUUUCCAACCGCACUGAUUUGUCACCAUCCAUUCAUAUACAUGUACUUUAAGUUUCUUCUCUGCUCCAAGCAAAAUCACAUAUAUUUUGACAAAGAAAGGCAGUUCUAAAUCCAAAUAUAUAUAUAUAUAUAUAUAUAUAUAUACACACACACAUUAAAGUAAAAGGUAUCCACAACAAACUUAAAGGAAAAAAAGUUACCAUUAAGAAAUAUUUUAGUACAAAAAAAAAAGGGCAUCCCCCGAGGUCAAACAAGCCAGCAUCCACUUUGACACCAGAAAACACCAUUUCCUCUGUCCACCAUAUCAGGCAGAACAAAAACAAAUGCAUAACAUCCAACACAGUUGCACAAAAUCAACAACAAACCCAUUUUCCCAAUCUGGCAAACAAACAUGCCCAUAGCAUCAAUUCCUUCCUUCCAUCAUCCAUACCAAUCAAAAAAUAAAACCAACAACCCACCAUUUAAUUCAGAUUUUCAAAGCACCCAACUUUGCCAAAACCCAAACAAACCUUAACCCUCCACAGCACUUCCAACAGGAACAUGAAUGUCCUUAUAGAGGCAAACAUAAGGCGCAUCACACCCAAUGUACUUGCCAGUCCACCUCCCCUCCUCAAUAUAACUAGCAUCCCAAACAGAAGCAUACAAAUACAUAGGCUUGUGAGGAAAAGCCUCACCCUUUUUCCUCUCUACCCUCACCAAUUUCCCAUCAACCAACCACUCAAUCAAAUCCUGACCCCAUUUGAUCACAUACAAAUGAAACCCAUCAGAACAAUCAAAACCCAGAUCAUGAAACUCCUCUUUGUUACCUGUGCCGCCAGUGUAAUAGUUAGUCUGCACAAUUGUCCUGUCCUUGCCCAAAAACUCGAAGUCAAUCUCGUCCUGUGACUUGUCACCUUCCAGGGACGAGAGGUAGAUGUUGAAGUUGAGGCCGCUGGUGUUGCCACGUGGGCACUGAAUGAGGGAGCUGAAGGUGCCGUAGAGGAACCUUGUGGUGGUGCGCCACCGUGCACCGCCGCGGUGGUCGUAGGUGAGGGUGAUGGUGUUGGCGUCUGGGCAGUGUGUACAGGCCUCCGGGGUGUAGUCUAUGGCGAUUUGCUUGAGGGGUUGGGUUUGGUGGUGGGUUGGGGUCUCUGGGUGUAGCGCUGGGUCUGCCAUUGAAGAUGCGAAUAUAGAAUGAGAGAGCUUGAGAGUGAUGACUAUGGCGGGAGCGUUAGAUCUAAUAUAUGUAAGUUUUUGUGCCCAUUUUUUUCUGUUAUUUAUUUAUUUAUUUAAAUAUGCAGAAAGAUUUACAAAACAAUUUUUUUAAGGAUAUAUUUAUCAUUAUUUCCAGCCAAAGAGAAAAUAGAAAACCAUUGAAAUUAUGAUUAUGAUUAUGAUCCUACAAUUUCACCAAGAGUUGCAAAAUAACUAGUUUACCAAGUGUUUGACAAAAUAAAACUAUUACCAACUGUUGCGAUUUAAGGAUAAUGUCUGCAUUUUAUUUUUAAUUUUAUUUAUACAAGUGAUAUUGAAAGAAAGAAAAAUUAAACAUAGAACAUCAAGUGCAUAGUUAUAAAUCCCUUGUUUGUCAAAUUUUUCAAUAGAAUUAGAAUGCAAGUAGCAUAUGUAAGGCUAAGAUGGAUUUUCUAGAAGCGCAAAACACCUCCCACAUUGCCUUCACAUGCUAAUUUUGUCGAUUUUUUUGUUGUUGAAAGAAUUAAGUAAUUUCACUUAAAUUGCAAUAAAUAAUAAACUAAAUAAGUUAAAUCACGACAAUUAAAACUACAUAUAAUAAAAUGGAAUAUCGCUAAAAGCUACAUAGACCAAACUUAUAGUUUGACCGUUUUUUUAAUAACUUAGGUUCUGUUUAGUAUCCUACUCAAAAAAGUAAAUUCAAAAACUAUAAUUCUUUUUUAAAAUAUGAGUUUUCAAAUAGUGAUUUUAAGAUUUAAAAACUUGUUUGGUAUUGAACUCCAAACUAUUUUUAAGAUCUAAAAAAAUUGAAAUUAAAAUCAUAAAAUUAUAAACCCUAGAUUCCCAAAUUGAAAUUAACAAAGAGAGAGAGAGAGAGAGAAACUAUAAAACCCCACUCUUUUUUUUAUAUUUAAUAAUGGGGUGGUUUUUGAGUUUUUCUUGAGUUUGAGUUUUUAAAAGUAGGCCUACCAAACAGGUUUAUAAAAUGGGUUUUUGUGGUUUUGAGUUUAUAAAAUUAGAUCCAAUUAGGAUACCAAACAACCCUUAACUUCUUAAAAAGUAAACACCAAAUUUUAUUACAAAGAGAGUCUUACUUCUUUUUUUGAAAGUAAAAAUUCUUACCUUCAUGUUAAUACGAUUUACAUAUGUGUUCAACUGUAAUUUACAAAAAGGAUGAAUAUCUAAUUUCAAAUAGUAACAUCUGGUCAACACCCUUUUGCAAGACAGCAACUACCCAAGGCCAUCCUUUUAAUGGGAAACGAUCAUCCAUUCUAAAUAUCUUGAGAAAUUAAAUGUAAAUUGUGAUUUACAGACAUAAAUAUUACGGAAAUAAUCUAUAGAGACCAACUUGUGUACCAUAUUUCUAAUAUGAGAAAUUUUUAUGUUACGGGAAUAUCACUUUUUGCUAUCCCUAUCCAAUAAAUGACAUAUAGGAUAACUUUUUUAUGUGUCUUUGUUUUACUGGUGGAGAAUAGCAAAAUAGUGUUAUCUUAAUUAUAUGUAAGUUUUUUUGCUCUAAUAGAGGUGGGAUCCAUUAUAUUGAUGGGCUCUACCUCUAUUAGAGAGUUGAUACACAAGUUAGUCUCCUUAGCAAACACAUAUCAAAUGUUGAUAAUGAUAGUGAAGAUACACUUUAAGUUAAAACGGUGCGCAAAAAUGCUCUUCUUACGAAAAGAAUGAAUAUCUCCUUCCAACUAGUAACAUCCAAUGCACACCCUUUUGCAAGACUGCAACAACCCCGGGCCAUCCAUUCAACGGGAAACGACCAUCCAUUCUAAAUAUUUUGAAAAAAAUAAAUACAAAUCGUGAUUUACAGAAAUAAUGAAGAUCUCUUUCCAACUAACUAGUAACAUCCGGUCAACACCUUUCAACCCGCGCAAGAAUGAAAGAUUUAGUGAGAAUUGUAGGGAUUAACCCACUCACGUCAAAAAUCACAAGGAAAAAGGGAAAAAAUAAAACAAAAAACAAAACUCUACCAACUUUAAAUCAUACAAGGGUAAACUGGGAAUUUUGAAAAUUUUGACCUAGGGUGUAGUGUAGUGAGCAAAUAGUGAAUAUUCUAAUAAUUGUUCCGUUUUAUUAUUACUCUUUUCUUUCGGCCUAAUUUGCUAAAAACUAAUAGGGCUUCAUAUCAUACGUCGCCGUUCGACUGACUUUGCCUCUGUUUGCGCGUACUGUCCGAAUUGUGCAGGAGCUCCCCAAAGCGAUUCGAGAGCCGUUCGUCCAAUUAUUCCUAGGGUUUCUCUGAGCUCUCUCUCCCAAAGACUCUAAGGUAUGAAAGCUCGGAUCUUUUUCGUCUAAUAUGUUCCGCAGAUCUAGCUUUUUUCCAUUUUUGAACCCUUAUUAUUAUUGCUUGAUUGUGCCCGUUUGCUUUAGGAUGUCACUAUUAUGAUCCCCACUUUGACUUCUUGUACUAACUUUUUUUGUGUAAUUAAGCUUCAUAAUCAUACUCCUACUUGAUCAAGUCAAAAAUAUAUUCCUUUCUGAAAUUUCCCGUUGUGUUUUUUCGGUGUGGUGCAUUUGCUUGUGUUUUUGUGUUGCUUAAGAGUUGGAGAGCUCACUAAGUGUUUGUAUAAAUGCCACUGACCCACGGUAUUUACCUAAUUGUCCUGUUAUUGCAUCUGGAAGGGCUUGAAAACUUUGAAGCUUGAAGAAAUGAGGCCAAUAUUUUGCGGCAACUUGGAUUUUGAUGCAAGGCAAGGGGAUGUUGAGCGGCUUUUCAGGAGAUAUGGGAAAGUUGAGAGGGUGGAUGUUAAGUCUGGUAAAUAAGUUUUCUGAUUAAAUAACUUAUUUUCUGCUGUGUUUUCAUCAUGGUCUGUUUUAGUUCUCGAUGUUGGCUGUUGGUAGCAUACUUGUAGUACUGGGUUGUUUGGUUUACUUCCAUUUUUCUGUUGUAUUUGUUGGGUACGCAUUUGGCGGCCAAGAUAAAAGCCUUAAAGCUUUUUCAAGCUGUUGUUUUUUGUGGUGAAAUCUGAAGUGGGGCAUGGCUGAAUCUUCCUACUGGGAUAUGGUCGGUAAGAAUUAGUGGAGAUUGAGGUUUGGGCACCAUAUAUUUAUCUCUAUGAGAUGAUACAGAUUCGGGUAGAUAAAUAGAAUACAUAUGGUUUAACAGCAAUGGAGUAAUUUAACAGGGGAAUUCUGUCAUCAUGCAGAUGUGUCAGCUGCUAACAAGGAUUUUCUGCUGCGUCUGAAAAUCUAUUCCGACCUUAUUUGUGAAUAAAAAGAGUUUCUGUAUUGAGACAUAGUGGGGUUCCUGGAUAUGUUUUAGAAAGGAAAAUAUGGUGUACAACCUGAAAAAGGUUCAUUUCAAGAUUUGGCUCAUUGACCCUUUUUGUAUAUAAGCGAAUACGUACAGAAAUAUGAAGUCUGGUUGUAUUCCUCGGCCUUUUUUCUCCUUUUCUUCACAACAUAUUGACAUGUAGAAAUUCCCUUUCUCCUGUAAAUUGAAAAUCUAUGAGAGAUGUCUUUAAGGAGAACUGUAGGGGUGGGAAUGCAGUGGACAGUACAUAUCCUUCAUUUUCAGAAACAUGAGCUCUUUCUCUGGGCUGUUAGAUUGGAGUAAAUUCAACAGGGGGCAUAUUUACUAAGAAAAUUAGCUGUUAUUCAAAAGGGUCAAUAUGUUAUUCCUUAACUUAAUAUUUAGAUGGGUGUACACACUAUUUUCCCUUCAGAGAAGCAGGUUACUUUUUUAUUGCAGUGUAAACCCGCAUACUCAAGAAUUUCUUUGGCGCAGGGUUUACUUGGAAUGUCCAUGCUCUUCUUGGAUGGGUCUGCUUAUCUGCAUUUCUUUUGUAGCAUGUGCCCAGGCUUCACUUAUUGUAUUUUACCAGAAGAAUUAAACUGAUCUGCCCUAGUCCUGCCAUCCUACUUUACCUCAGACACCAUUGCUUUUUCAUUCCUCAUGAAUUUUGCUCCGUGUUCAAUUUCCGACAUGUUCCAACAUAGAUUCCAUGAUGAUAUCGCAGCCACUGGCAGGUUUUGUGUUACUCUCUAGCAGAUGAUUUUGUAUGCACAUAAUUUUAUUAGUGUUUGAGAAGUCAACAUUUCCUCAUAGAUUCUAGGUGAUGUUGUUCUUAUACUAAAAAAAACAUGUAUGCCUAAUAAACUUGCAUAAAAUUGUUUUGGUGACUUUGUUUUACGUGCUUUGGUUACUUACCACUUUGGUUUUAAUAAGAUUUAUUCAAUAUUGGUUAAAUAGGAUUUGCUUUUGUCUAUAUGGAUGAUGAACGAGACGCUGAGUAUGCAAUUCGGAGACUUGACAGGACAGAAUUUGGUAGGAAGGGACGCCGACUUCGUAUUGAGUGGACCAAGGUAAAAUCGAUGAUAUGAUUGGGUUCUAACAAAAUGAUUUAUCACUUUAUGGUCACUUUCAUAGCAUAGUUGCUGAGCAUUUUGGCAUCGCACAGAGCACGAUCCUAAACAUACAAGUAUAAUACUAGAUCCUGACUUUUCUGUCUGGCAUGCAAAUUUUAGCUUAAUCUAUUCCUUUACAUAAUUUUAAUAUUUUGAGUGCGUUGGUCAAAACCAUAUUCCCUAUACCUCCUUGCUAUAUUUUCUGAACUUAUGCAUGCAAAGGGUACAUAUGUUUGUAUCUGCUUCAUGAUGCUCGACUCCUCUCAUUUAUAUAAGUUGGUAUUACACAAGAUCAAAUGGAUAAACAAAGUCACAGGAUUUACUUGAUUAUUUUGUCAGAAUUUGCACUCAUUUAAUCACAUUUUAUUCUGUAUUGAAGCAUGAAAGAGGGAUUAGGAAACCUGUUGAUUCAAGAAGACCUUCAGCGAACACAAAGCCCUCGAAAACCUUGUUUGUUAUCAAUUUUGAUCCAAUCCAUACCAGGACAAGGGAUCUGGAGAGGCACUUUGAUCCAUACGGAAAAAUAGUGAACAUAAGGAUUAGAAGGAAUUUUGCAUUCAUUCAAUAUGAAUCACAGGAAGAUGCUACCAAAGCAUUGGAAGCAACAAAUUCAAGGUUCUAUUUUCCUCGAUAACUUCUAGAAUGAUGUUUGCUUGAUUAACAAAUUCCAAGGUUUUUGCCUUUGGACAACCAUAUCAGCAUAUGAUUGUUUGGAAGUGACUUCAAAGGGAGAAUGGCUCUAACUUCUGUAGGAAAUUCAGUUUUGAUUGAGUGAAAGCCAUGUCAUUUGUAGGCAUUUCAUUGCAGCAGCUUAGUGUAAACAUUAUUUACAAGAAAUUUUUACCAAAAGAAGCUGGUAUAGGUGGUUGCAAAGAAAAUGAAAAAGCUUCUUGGUAUUGUCGUUAAAAAAAGUCUUAUACAUUUGUUCUUGAGAUUUAAGUUUUACCCUUUUGAAUUAACAUUUUAAAAGAAGAGACAACUUCAUUUAGAUAAUAUUCUCAAUGGUUUUAUUUAGCGAAGAUAUUCUGUAUGAAUCCAUCUCAACAAUUUGCAACUUGCUUCAUAUUAACUUUAAUUAAUUUCUUUUUGAGGUACAGCAAGUUCAUGGACAGGGUUAUUUCCGUGGAAUAUGCUGUUCGUGAUGAUGAUGAUAGAAGAAAUGGACACAGUCCUGAUAGAAGGGGCCGUGACAUGUCUCCUGAAAGAAGAAGCAAUGAUCGUGGGCGAUCUCCAAGUCCAUACCGCAGAGAUAGGGCUAGCCCUGAUUAUGGCCAUGGCUCCCGUAUAAGUUCUAGAUCUGAUCCAAGAAGAAGUCCUGAUUAUGAGAGAGCUGAAAGCCCAAUCAAUGAUAGAUCCCGUCCUAGUUCUAGACCUGAACCAAGGAGGAGUCCCAGUUAUGAGAGGGCUGCUAGCCCAGUCAAUGAUAGAUCCCGUCCAAGUUCUAGACGUGAACCAAGAAGAAGUCCCAGUUAUGAGAGAGAUGCAAGCCCAGUCAAUGAUAGAUCCCGUCCAAGUUCUAAACCUGAACCAAGAAGAAGUCCCAGUUAUGAGAGAGCUGCAAGCCCAGUUAAUGAUAGAUACCGCAGGUUUGAGCUUUUAGAUCCUGAAAUUAUGAACUUUUUUUUUUUUUUUUUUUUUUUUUUUUGGGGUGUGGUGAGGUGGGGGAGUGUUGCAAUGCAUUAAUAAAAUCACGUUCAACUAUGUGUUUAAUUGCUAGAGGGCACCAAUAGUAUUCAUCUCUUUUAACAUGAUUGAUUUCUGUUUGCAUUUCCUUCUGAUUUGUCAAUGUUGUAUUUAUAUGUGAAUAUAUUACAUAUGGUAGCCCCAUUUUGAGAAACCUUUUUAUUGUUGAUAAUGCAGCCGUUCACCCCCACCGCGGGAAAGAUCCCGUUCCUGAGAACCAGCAGGAUGGAGCCUCGUUGUAGUGGUUAGCUGGUCUUCUCUUUCAUUCGUAGUUGACAACUGAAGUUUGUUUAUUCCUUUGUUGUUAGUAUUCAGAGAUAUGAUGAGUUUGAACUUUCAAAGUGAUAAAUUCGGAAGUUUGUUAAGUAGCCAAUCAUGGUUUAUGAGACUCUGUUUGAUUUCUAUUUGUUUUUUAGUUUGUUUUCUAUAAAUUUAAACUUGGAAGUUCUCAGUUGUACGGUAGCUAGUGAGGGUAAGGUCAAAUCUGUAUCAUUGUUAUUUCGUAAGCCUAGUUUGGCAUGAAUGUUGGAGGUUGCACCUCAGUUUAAAAAUAUAUUAUUUUUUCCUUGGAAAGAAGGCUCACUUUAUAGGUUUGGGAGGAGAUAGAACAGUCUUUUUUGGUACUUUGCACAGGGAGUGAUUUUUGGGUUUUGUAUCCUGGAAUUAGAUGGGUUUAAAUUUUUUGAAGUUUGAAUUUGUACCAUCUUCGGGUAUAAUUUAAUAAACUUGCUAGUUGCUAGUUGUUUAUACAUAGGGUUUGGGGUAUCAAAUGACAGGCAAUUUGCGACAUUUUUUAAGCUACCUAGGUCCAGCCUGAAACCACCACUCAUGGGUUUUGUAUGUUUGGUAUUUUAUUCAAAUUCUCUGUUGGAUUCGAAUGUUUAUGCCUCGUUUUACUCUUUUUUUACAUACAACAUAAUUUGAAAUUAGCAUCUACCAGACCACUACUCUCUCAUCUCAAUGUUACUUAGAGUUCUGCAUUGACAUGAGUCUAUAACAGGAGGUGUAACUCAAAAGUAAAAAGAUCCAUCUUGAAAGUGGAUGGCGGUCAGUCGCUGAUGUAAGUGACUCACACAAUACUAACCGGUGUACAGCUCAAACAACCGCUUAGCGCCUUACAGCUAAACCAACCUCGCUUAGCGCCUUACAGCUUAGCCAAGCUCUUAGACUCAGGCGACUGUUGUUAUCAUAACUCAUAUAAAAGGCAAGCAGAUUUAGAAGUGCCAUCGGCAAACGCUGAUAUGGGAAGUCUAGUUGUAGUCCUAUAGUGAGGAAAUGGUGGAGAAAAGUGGAGCGCGAAAAGGACAAGAGAACGUGUGAAGGAUACACAGCCGACAGGCAACAGCGUCACGUCCCCUGCCACGCAAGGCCAAAGCCCAAGGCGUUUGUCUAGAUCCACUCGCUCAAACUCUAAUUUCAAUUUAGGCUCCUCCUCUAAUCAGUAGGCCCCAUUUAUGAAUUCCCAAAAGCUAGGUGCUUUGCUUUGUUUCCUGCAGCCAUUUUGAAAUUGAAAGCCGACAAAAGAACAAGGACAGUUUACCACCUUAACCAACGACUAGUUGAUUAUUUUAUUAUUAGCAAAAGCAAUUUACUACUUGAUUAAUUUAACUCAAAUUCAGCAAAAAUCCCAGCCAUAACCGAAAAAGUCGGUGAGAAAUAAUACCAUGAACUGUUUUUUUUUCCUUUGGGCAAUGAUCAGCCCUCAUAGUCAACUGGGUGCCAUCAUUUGGCAAAUGUCAAAUGUAAAAUGGUAAAUUUGAAGUUGAUCUGGAGGUAAAUUUGAAGUUGAUCUGUUAAGUGUCCAUUUGACAGUCCAUCCGAAAUGUCAAUAAAAAUAAUUUUAUUAUUUUUUGAGCUGGUACCUAUAAUAUUAUUAAGAAAAUAGAGAAAAUUUUAGUGAUGCCCCCUAGAUUAUAAACCUUGUUCCAUUUUGCCUUUUGAACAAUUCCUUUAAUCUUUCAAAUGUGCCCUCUUUCGUCAAAUUUGCUAAUUCUUCCAUCAAACUCAAGGGCUUUUUUAUCCAUUCAAGUUAGGAUUUGGUUUGACCCACUUAAACCCUAAUUGACUCGACCCAUUCUACCAUUCAAACCUCAUUUUCAUUUUAUUUUUAAUGUCCAUUAAAAAUACAAUUUGAAGGCAUAAUGGGCCGAGUCAAUUAGGGUUUAAGUGGGGCAAACCAAAUCUUAACUUGAAUGGACAGAAAUACUCUUGAAUUUGACAAAGGAACAAUCUAAAUUGAAAUAUUAAGGAGGCUCAAAACCAAAUUGAAAGUUGAGAGGGCAAAGUAGAAUAUGGUCUAUAUAUAGUUGAGGGGACAUUGCUAAAAAAAACCCCAAGAAAAUAUAAUCCCCACACCCAAAAAAGAAAAAGAAAAAAGAAAAAACAAAAAGAACUAAAAGACACAUACAUAGACUAUUUACAACAAAGUUUAGAAUAUAAAAAUAACUAUGGUAAAUAAAAUAAAAUUAAAGAAACAAAUAUCCUAAUUCUCAAACCAUCAUGAUUCACCAUACAUGAGUAUAUCAUAUGUUUUAUAGUUUACUAGAUUAAUCUAGCUUAAUUGUCAAUUAAAUUCUUCCUUUAAAAUCCUUCCACCUAAAUGAAUUUGGAAUUUGUUAAAUAGUAACUUUAAACCAUCGUGAAGUGGAUUUGGAAGACUUAUAUAUGGUGAAUCAUGUAAAAACUCAUGUAAUUUUUCUUCUUCUUAUAAUACAAACAAAACAAUUUAAUGUUAGCCUAAAUGACUUUGGACUAAUCUUCUUGUCUUAUGGUGAAUUAUGUAAAACUGGUGUCUUUUUUGCUUCUUUUUAUAGUAAAAAUACAACCAUUUAUGUGUAUACCUCAGUGAUUGAACCAGUCUCCUUGUCUUGUCUAUUCUUAUUUUUUGUUGCAUGUUUUUGGCAUUGUAAUCAUUUUGAUUCCUAACUUCCAGUAUGUUUUUGGCAUUAUAAUUAUUUUGAUUAUUGACUUUUCAUGUGUUUACUAGCACAAAAGAAAUAAAAUAUCAAGUUAGUUCCAAGAUUAAAAUUCAUAAUUCAAUACAUGAAAAUCAAGAAUUAGAUUAAUUAGAGAACAAUUCAUCUCAUACCUAUUCAUUCUUUCCUUUAUUCCAAACUUUCGUGAUUGAAUUCCUAAAAGACGCAAGCAUGAAUUUAUUAUAGUCAUAUCAACCACUUUAGUUAGAAAAUAGAAUAAAUUUGAAAUAUAUUAGUUAGGUCAAUUUACCCACUCAUUUGCAUCAAAGUUUAAUUUUCCUUCUUGUAAAUUAGAGUAAUUUAGACUAUCACUCGUUAAAAGAAAUUUCGUUUUGUAAUAAUGUUUGUAAAUAAGCCUUGAGCUUGUGGGUUUAUAUUUUUUAACCCCCGGAUAUAUAAGUAAUCUUAAUUGAAACAAGUUGAGAUGAUGCCACAUUCAAAAGAUCUUCAACUUCUGUGAACCAUAGCAAAGGUUAUAUAGGUAACUUCACUAACAUGUCAUUUCCCAACGAACUAUCUCUCUCACGGAAGUGACCAUCUUGAAAAGUCACAAGCCGCCCCCACCUCACACGUGGCUAAAAUUCCAUGUAAUCACAUCGGUAACGUAACAAUUCGAAUAAUUAAAAGAACAUUCAAAAUUUACACUAUAGGCAACGGUCGGAUUUUCUGUCCCACUUGUAGUCACAGCCGUCCGAUCCUGCAUCAUGUUCGACAUUUAAAACCUGUUGCCUGAAGGCUGAAGCAUGAGCACACAUUUCUCUCUCCACAAUACAUAGUGAAAAGAUACUUCCUUUUCUAAAUUAUUUUCUUCCAUUUAGAGAGAGAGGGACAUAGACAUUUUGUCAUUUUCAUUUAGAGAGAGAGAAAUUUGAAUGUGAAUGGGAUUUUAUACGUCUAUAUAUUUCUCUUGUCUGGUUGUGUUAAAAAAAGCUCGAAAAUUUGAAGUGGGUUCAAUUUGAAAUUGAGCAUCCUCAAGGUGUUGAAGAUUCGUUUCUAUUUUUCAGAGUCUGUGUCUGUUUUUUAAUGGAUUUCGAUCGUUUCGUCCUGUUUCUCAAAUAGCAAACAGAAAUCGUUUCUGGGUAGUUUCGGAGUGAGAAAGAGAGAGAUUAAGAUCCAGCUGCUCUUUGAUUGCUGAUUUUGGAAGCAUUGCUGAGUUGGGCUGCAAUUCGUAAAGAGAGGGGAAGAGGGUUUUAGAGAAAGGGAGGGGUCUGAAGGUCAAUUUGAUCUGGGUUGCUGACACUUAGUCACAGAAAAAACAGAGAGGUUUGAAGGGCAAGCUAUAGUGGGUUGCUUUUUAAAGAAAAAAGUAUACACGUUUCUGUCUUUCUGAGUCUUAAAGGUUGGUUCUUGGGCUUGUUUUUUCAUGCUUUCUUUAACCCCUCCACUUCAGAAUGUAAAAAAGCUAAUUUCUUUAUCAUUUUCUCUGGAUUUUGUGAUAAUCAGUUUUCACUGAUACUUCAUAGCUAGAUAUUUAUCCCAUUAAUUUCAGUUCUGGGUAUCAUUGUUUCCCUUUUGUGCUUGCAGGAACAGAAGGGACUGAUAGCGAGAGAGAGAAAGAGAAGGGGGCAUUGUCUCAUUGCUUGUGGCUGUCAAUGGUGGAACCAUUUGAAUUUUUGAGAAAAGUCAAAUCAACUUGAGGUAUUGUUUCAGAAUUUUUUCUUUGAAUUUUCCUUGAAAAUUAUUUGUGGGGUUUGGUCCAUCUUGCUGAAGUUAAACACACUCUAGUUAUACAACUUGGGAUAGAGACUGGAAUCUUCUCUUUGAAGUAAAGUCUAACUUCCUCUCUCUCCACCCACCUAGCUUCAUUUAUGAGGAAAAAUGGCAACAAAGCUAAGAAUCCCAACUUUCCCAGUCUCUUUCCAAGAAAUCUUGACCCUUGGAUGUCGAUAAAAAUCAAGUUAGUGAAAUCCAGUAAACUAAUAUGAUAUCACAGUCACCAUGGUCAUGGUUGAAAAAGUAAAUUUGUAACAAAAGAAACAUGUGCCAACUACGGCUUCUUAAUUGGACGGCACUGCUUAGCCUUUAAAAGCAACUUCAUUUAUUGUCAUCAACAAUUUCAUAUUAUAAAGUUCAAUGAUCAUUAUAAAUCUUAUUUUUUUAGGAUUCCAAUUUUCGUUUGGGGAUUUAAUGAUCACUUACCAACAGUAAGAUGGACUCCUUGGGCAUCUUUUAGGUAUUUCCAUAUGGUUGGUCGGGUAUGGUUUUCAGCGAAGCAAGCUUGCUGUGAUCAUACAAGAUUCUCGAAGCUCUUGAUGUUGGCCCAAUUGUUUUAUUAUAGCUGAUAUUAUUUAAUUGCAGCCCUGAUACAUAAUUUAUGCUUUUAUGAUUGCAACUGCUCCACUGCCUUUUUAGUUUUAUAUGCACAUAUCUUUACUUUGCAUUUUCUUAUCCGUUCAAUCCUUACAAGGCUUUGUUUUCUUCAAAUUUCAGGUGGUUGAGCUCUGGUCGCCAAUUUGAUCAAUACCCAUAUUGAAAUCAUGGUGGAGAAUGGUGGCCAUGAGGUUUUGACCGGUACCCGGUCAGCUGAAGAAUGGUCAUCACAUGCACGGGAGCUUGUUCCAUUGGCACUGAAUAAGGCAAGAGAGGUUAAGGGAUUUCCAGGUCGGUGGAAGAUGAUCAUUUCAAAGUUGGAGCAGAUCCCGUCACGUUUAUCUGACCUGUCUAGCCAUCCAUGCUUUUCCAAGAAUGCUCUUUGUAAGGAGCAAUUGCAGUCAGUAUCUAAGACACUGAAGGAGGCUAUUGAAUUGGCUGAGUUUUGUGUAGGGGAGAAACAUGAAGGAAAACUUCGGAUGCAGAGUAAUCUUGAUGCGUUGUCUGGGAAAUUGGAUUUGAAUUUGCGAGAUUGUGGGCUUUUGAUCAAGACCGGGGUGCUUGGUGAGGCUACGUUGCCUUUAGCUAUGGCUGGUUCUUCAACUGAACCUGAGACUGC